UGCAGGCGGCGGAGGUGGACGGCACGGACGUCACGACGCUGAUCCCCUUCUUCUCCGACUUGGUGGGGAAGCUCGGGGCGCUCGAUGUCUGGAUCGCCAGGUAUGGCGCCAACGAAGUCGCCAACUGCGCUCGGGAGGUUGCCGGGACAAUCCUCCCACGGAUUCAUCUCCAGGACCCGGAGUUUCCCUUCGAGUCCCUGCUGGACGCUUGGUCCGACAGCGAGGACGAGCCCGCGCACACCCAAGCAGUGCGCGAGUUCGUCGACGAGGUCGUCGAGCGGACGCAGAUGAAGCCGGAGCCUGAUCUCCCCGCCGACCCCCCGGCCGAAGACGGCGACAACUAGUUGCCGUAGCCCCCAGCCGUGCUCGUUGCUCCCACUGUACCUUCUUUUGUUUGCUUUCCCUGCAAGUUUGGCGCUUAGCGCCGUUUGAACAAUCACCUUUUGAUUAGUCCACGUAAUCAUUCGGCACUUAGUCAAUCAAGCUUGUUAAUUUGCUCAAUUUUUGUCCCUUAUUCCCGAGGCCGCCUCGCGGGGUGGUUCCCUUAGCCUUUGCGUGUUACGCCUUGUGUUGCCGGGGACUCGCACGUCCCACCCUUGACCAGACCAGGGACCCGGGACGGACCCGUGGUGCCGACCUGGGGCCAAGGGGUAGGCGGCGAGCCACUCCACUUGCGGGGUAACUAUUCCAAGCCAUGCCCUCCCGGGACGGACCCGGGAGCCACACGGGGAGCGCACUCCCCCCGCAAGCGUCCUCCUCACACCCUGACCACACGCAGGUUCCGGAACCACACUUGGCGAAGCAGCGUUAACUCUUAGUUAAGUAAACUUUUCGACAAGUUCGUUGUUCCUGAUGCUGUCUAGCGGGGUGGCCCCUUUUAGCCUUUGCGUAUUUUGCCUUGUGUUGUGGGGGACUCGCGCGCGCCUCACCCUUGACCAGACCAGGGACCCGGGAUGGACCCGUGGUGCCGACCUGGGGCCUAGCGGUAGCGGGGAGCCACUCCACUUGCCGGGUAAUUACUCCAAGCCGUGCCCCUCCAGGACAGACCCGCGAAGCCACACAGGGGCGCGUCCUUUUUAACACUCCGGCUGCGCGCGGGAUCUGGGGCCGCACCCAGCGAGACAGUGCUCAGUUUCGUUCAGCUCUUAGCGAAUUCAGCGUUCAUGUUCAGACACUUAGCUUUUCCGUUCGGUCCAAUGCCUCGUGACGCUCGGCGGUAGAGUGCAGACGGGGCACUGCCUUGGUAGGAACCCACCUUGGGUACCUGUUCAAGGGAAAUGAUCUCUGAAGGAUGCGGCAGGAGCGCGGGGGCAGGAUCGCCGACAGCGGCAACCGCCGCAGACGAUGCUACCACCACGCUCACGCGGCAACCCUCGCCUUCACGGACGGACCCUGGCUUUCAAGGAGGAACCCUGGCCUUUAGGGAGGAACCCUGGCUUAGGAGGACUCCGCCUCGGGAGCAGCCGCAAGACGGCUAUAACGCCGUCGCCGCCAGCUGCGCCCCACCCCGAACGGCGGGCACGGGUGGCGAGGAAGUUAUAGCCUCCCAGCGACAGCCCCCGCAACUGGGGAGACCUGGUUUUUUCUGGGGAACUCGUCCCAAGGGACGUGACAGCCCUUGUUGCCCGGGAGCAAAACUGCUCGAGGGCCGCGGCAGGGAUGCGGUGAUGGGCCGGAACGGGCGACGAGCGCCGGCACCGGCGCCAUCAUAGCGUCCUCGCAACGACCCGCGCCCGAAAAACACUCUCCCAAAGGGAAUGCGGCCGGGUCUCUAUGAUAGUGCACUCGUCGGCACAAGGCACAGAGGGCAUGCACUUCCAUAGAGUCUCCGCGGCAGCCCCUGCUCCUUGCAGAGGCGUCCUAUGGAGGGGGGCGACAAGGGCACUGCGGCAAUGCACCCCGUCAGCGCCGGAUGCUGAUGGAAUGCACCACCACAGUGCCUCCGCGGCGACCCUCGCCCAGGAGCCGCCCACUUGAGGAAGCGCGGCAGGGGCACAACGGCAGUGCACCCGUCGGCGCAGGACGCUGAUGGCAUGCACUACCAUUGUGCCUCUGUGGCGUCCCUCGGGGCAGGCUCGAUGGGGUGAUGCAGCAGGGGCACGAUGGCAGCGCACCCGCCCGUGCUAGGCGCCGGCGGGAAGCACCACCUCCGCGCCUCCGUGGCACCACCCGCCUUAACGGCCCCGAACCCGGCUUCGCUCUGAGCCGUUCAAUGGUUGGGGCGCGCCUUUUAUAGGCGAGGGAGGGUGAUUUGCCACCGCGCGCGACGGACCCGCGCAGCACCCGUGGCGCCCUUCCUUCGAACGCGGCGCAGUUUCUGCCGCCACGUUUUCCAGGCAACCCUGGCACACGUGGCGGCAACCUGUCGACUCAGAAGCCUCGGAGUGCGGUGAGCCCCUUGUGUUGCGGUCCUCCCGCACCACAAGGCACCGGUAUAUGGUGCGACCCGUGGGCAGCUCACGGGCACCACAGUGUACAAGAUUCCACCCUUUCCUGCAGAUUAGACUCUUACCAGGCCUGAGAUACUGCAAAAAAUUUCGAAACUUACGAAAAUAAGAGAAAAUAAGCAACACAGACAAAUUCCUCCUGCUUCCCAGCCCCCGGGCACAAAGGGGUCGAUGCCAAACUUGGAUGUGAGCAUUUCCUUUCCCAGGCGCAGCGACUGCGCGGUGCAAGAUGCGGAGGGCCGAGCAACUGCACGCCCCGUGAUGCACGUUGCGGGAAGCCCGCCAACGGCAUGUCCCGUGCCGGAACGAUCCGGCAACGGGUUUACGUUUCGAGGCCACAACAGCCCCCUGCUCACAACCAAGUAUGGAAAGACACCUUUGUGCACUUAAAGCAGGAGACAGAAGAGGGAAAAAAACACGCGAAUAAACAAGGCAAAUCCAAAGCUCAGGGGCGAAACACUUAUCUUUAUUCAUGAUUAACUAGCGGUUUACACGCGGGGGCUGCCCGGUUACACUAGUUCGAGAGGUAUGCAUCGAGGCAUCACCUGAGGGUCGGGCUCCGCCGCUUCACGGGUAGAACUUGCGCAAGUGCUCAAUAUUCCAGCUAUUGGGCACCGGCAAGCCGUCUUCGGUUUCCAGGCGGACAGCCCCCGGCCUAGUCACCUGCACUACCCGGAAGGGCCCCUCCCAUUUCGGAGCCAACUUGUCGAUGGCCACGAACAAAUAUUCGUAACCGCCAACCGCCCUUGGUAGCUUGCCGACGAUGUCCAGCCCCCAGACCGCGGACGGCCAUGAGGACGGGAUGACAUGCAGGGCCUGCGCCGGUUAGUUGCUCUUCUUUGAGUGGAAUUGGCAUGCCUCGCACGUCUUCACAAGUCACUCCGCAUCGGCCAGGGCCGUGGGCCAGUAGAAGCCAUGCCGAAACGCCUUGCCGGCUAGAGCCCGGGAGGCCACAUGGUGUGAACCUGUGCCUCGAUGUAUGUCUUCCAACAGUGCGCACCCUUUUUCCUGCGGCACACAGAUGAGUUUGACACCGUUCGCACGCCUGCGGUAGAUGUUACCAUCUACCACAGUGUACAUCUUGGCUUGCCGCGCUACACGCUCCGCAGCGACGUCAUCUUCCGGGAUUGCCUCCCCUUUCAAAUAGCGGGCGAUUUCUUCCGCCCAGGGGGAAUCUCCCUGCCAACGCAUGCUGCCAUAUCAGCGGCAUGGACCCCCACUGCUGCAGGGGUUCCUUCGGUGGCCGGAGAGGCGUCCCCGGCAGCCGGCUGGGGGGCGACUGAAGGAGCCACUUGCUUCUGACAGAACACCCCCGCCGGAGGCUUCCGGCGCUCUGCUGCCAUCUUGGCCAGCUCGUCAGCAGCGAAGUUAUCCUUCCGCUUGACAUUCUCGAAGCGCAAACCUUUGAACUUUCGUUCUAGUUUGCGGACCUCCUCCACGUACGACGCCAUUUGAGGGCAGUCGUAGUCCUUGUUCACCUGGUUGAUCACGAGCUGGGAAUCGCCGCGAACAACCAAGCGCUUAAUGUCCAGGGCGACCGCUGCCUGCAACCCGACAAGCAGGCCCUCGUAUUCCGCCGUGUUGUUGGUGCAGUUAGCGAAGCCGAGUUGAACAGCGAACCUCAACUGGUCCCCUGUUGGUGACUCGAUGACGACCCCAGCGCCUGCUCCCUGAAGACUGAACGCACCGUCGAAGUAGAGGACCCAGUGGUCCUCGUCCAGCUUGCUAGGCAGGCUGGUCUCCGGCUCACUUUCUUCUACGCCCGUGGACGUCCAUUCCACGACGAAGUCCGCCAGGGCCGUGCUCUUAAUGCUUUUGGAGUUGGCGAAGUGGAGGUCGAACUCUGAUAACUCCAUCCUCUAUUCGGCCACCCUCCCGGUGGCUUCACGGUUGGUGAGGGCUCGCUCAAGGCAGAACCCGGACACCACCAUGACGCGGUGCGCCUGGAAGUAGUGGCGCAGCUUCGGGACGCAAGGAGAAUCCCCAGAAGGAGCUUUUGUACUUGCGGGUACCUUGUCCGCGCGUCGCGUAGCACCGUACUAACGAAAUACACCGGGUGCUGCACCAACCGCUUCCCCGAUGCCGAGGUUGCCGGCUCGGGGGUGGUCCCCGGGUCUGAGGCGGUUGCUGGGGCCCGCCCAGCCCCCUGCCCCGCAGCCCCAGUCCCCGGGACGUCUUCCUCCCUCUCCGCAAUCAGCACCGAGCUGACCACCUGGUCAGUCGCCACUAAGUAGAGUAGCAGCGGCUCGCCCAGCUUGGGGGCGACGAGGAUGGGCGGCGACCUUAGGUACUGCUUGAGUUCCUAGAACGCUGCCUCGGCCUCGGGAGUCCAGUCGACUGGACCAUUCUUCUUCAUUACCCGGAAGAAAGGCAAGGCACGCUCGCCCAGCCUGGAGAUGAAACGUCCCAGCGCGGCAACACAGCCGUUGAGGCGCUGGACAUCUUUCACCUUGCGGGGGGCCUCCAUCUUCUCGAUGGCUUCUAUUUUGGUCGGCUUGGCCUGUAUCCCCCGGUGUGAAACCAAGAAACCCAGAAGCUGCCCGGAGUUGACACCGAAGGUGCACUUAUCAGGGUUCAGCUUGAGCUUGAUCCUGCGGAGGUUGUCGAACGUCUCCCGCAGGUCAUCAACCAGCGAGUCCCCACGCUUCAAUUUGAUGACGAUGUCGUCCAUGUAGGCCUCCGCGUUGCGGCCUAGCUGGGGCCCCAAACAUUCGCGCAGGGCGCGCUGGAAUGUGGAGCCCGCAUUCUUCAACCCAAAAGGCAUGCAUGUAUAGCAAUAGCAGCCAACCGGGGUGAUAAACGCUGUCUUUUCCUCGUCCUCGACCGCCAUCUUGAUUUGAUGGUAGCCAGAGAAAGCAUCCAGAAAACUCAGCAAGUCACAACCAGCGGUAGAAUCAACUAUCUGGUCGAUACGGGGUACAAGGAAGGGAUCCUUGGGGCAUGCACGAUUAAGAUCAGUAAAAUCUAUGCACAUGCGAAGCUUAUUCCCUGCUUUAGGCACUACUACAGGGUUAGCCAGCCAAGUGGGGUACAAAACUUCCCUGAUUGCCCCGGCAGCCCUGAGCUUGCCCACCUCUUACUUGAUGAAAUCUUUUCGCUCUUGUGCUUGCCGCCGGAUCUUUUGCUUGACGGGGUGCGCAUCCGGGCGCACCGCGAGCCGAUGCUCAAUCACCUCCCUGGGGACUCCGGGAAGGUCCGACUAUUGCCAGGCGAACACGUCGGCAUUAUCCCGGAGGAAGGUGAUGAGGGCGCUUUCGUAUUCAGCGGCCAGGUUCGCACCAACAGUAACGGUGCGCUCCUUGUCGCCGGCUUGGAGAGGCAGCUUCUUCACUUUGGCGGCCUCCUCCCGGAGCCCCUGCCCCUUGCCGGGGUGCGAGCCCGGGCCUGCGCCUCCCCCAACAAGCCCUUGCGGGGUAGCGCGAGCCUUCUUCGUUGCCGGGGCAUCGCCCGGCAAGCCGUCGUCCUCGAAAUCAUCCUCGCCACCGGCGUCAGCUGCAGCAGCGGCCCGGACGACCUCGCCAACGCACCAAGCCGCGUCUUUGAGGUCGCACCUGAUGGAGAGGACUCCAUAGACGGACGGCAUCUUCAUCAUGCCAUAGGCGCAAUGCGUAGCCGCCAUAAACUUUUCCACCAGCCUGGCGGACAGGAGGUUAAACCCCGCUCCGUUAUCAACCAGCACCUUGGUCACCGUCAUAUUGCUAAUGAUCGGCGAGAUGACGAAGGGUAUUACCCCGGAACCCAACUGUCGCGCUGGGUGAUCCGUCGGCGUUGAAGGUGCUCGGCACGUGCGACCACCUCAGCGGCUGUUGCGGCUCCGCAUCCGGCAACAGUGCGCACACGUCGCGGGUGAGGCGCUUCACCGCAGCGUGGGACGGGAGAGCGUAAGCUCCCCCAUGGAUGCAGGCGACGCCACGAGGCUCUUGGAAGCCCGGUUCGUCGCCGCCGGUAUAGUCGGACUCGCGCUGCUCCUCAGCACACGCCCUGUCGUGUCCCCGAGGAGGACGUUCCCGCCCAGCGCGGGGUUGGCCGCGCCCCCUUUGGGGUUCACCCCUGCCGGCACCACCGCCGGCCGGCCUCGGACCCGCUCUGGGGUCGUUCGGGCAAUCUCGGGAGAGAUGCCCGAUGUCGCCACAACUGAAGCAGGCGCCGGCGGCGCGGCGCUCCUCGUGGCGCUGCUCCCGCCGCUGCUUGAUCCCCUGCAUAACGCGGCAAUUCUGCGCGUCGUGGGUGGAGUUGUUGUGGAUGGGGCAGCGGGGGCGCGUCGCCCUGCUUCCCGCCAGACUCUCCACCCGGCGAGGCCUUCUUCGCGGGCCUCGCGGUAGGAGCCCCCGAGUUCGCAGCGAGGACUUGCUUCCCGCUGCGCUUGCGGGAACCCUUCUUCUGCGAGCCCUCGCCAGGGCUCGCGGCAGCCCUGGGCUGCCAGCUCGGGCGCUAGGCGCCCUUCCUCGGCCAUGGCGCAUUUGUGCGCCAAGGCGUAUAAGUCCUGCGUCGUCCGGAUCUGAUGCGUGCUCAGCUUCUCGCGCAUCUUGGGAUCGCAGACGUUGAUGGCGAAGGUGUUGAUAAUGGCGGCCGCCUCCGCCUCCGGGAUGGAAUAGGAGAGGUUGGAGAAGCGGUUGACGAAGGCCCGCAGCGUCUCUCCCGGUUUUUGCACGAUAGUGUGCAGCUCCGCCAUGGUUCACGGGCGCUUAAAACCGCCCUGGAACGUGCUCACGAACUGCUCGCGCAGGUCCGCCCAAGUGGCGACGGACCCGGCGGGCAGGUUGAGCAACCAGGUUCGCGCUGAUCCUUUGAGGACCAUCGGGAACCAGUUCGCCCUAACCUUGUCGUCGGCGCCGAUCGCAUGCAUGCCCAACGUGUAGGUCAGGAGAAAAUCUUUGGGAUUAGCGGUCCCGUCGUACGCACCGAGCGCAGGCGCUCGGAACAUACGGGGCCACGUCACCCGCCGCAGCUCGCGCGUGAACGCGGUGCAGCCGUCCUCGGGGCCCAUGGGAGCGUCUUCCUACUCCUGUGGGUGCUGGCGCUCCAAGCGCUGGCGCAGAUCCUCCUGCUGGCGGGCAUUCAAGAUGCCACACGCAUCGCCCCCCGGAACGGUGGGCGAUGAGUUCGAGGACCCCUCCGGGCCCCCGUCUCCUUGGCCUCGCUAAGGAGGGGGAGGGUUCUCCCCCUGUCGUGAGGCGGGUGGCGCGUCUCUGCGCUUCGGGUUCUGCCCGUGGCCGGAGCCUACCGGGGCGCCCUCGCCUUGCGGCUGCUGGGUGGCCAGGGCGAGAAGCGCUUCCAACUCAUCGCCCCACGUCUCGUGCGCCGGCGUGCCCUGCUGCGGCUCGUACCGCACCAUGACGCGCGAAGCUAUGAUGGCUUCAGCCGGGGUCCAGACGGAGGGCAGCCGGUUUCCUGAACGGCUGCUUCCCGCCCUGGCCCCGGACGACUCCGGGUGUGAACCCCCAGGGGUUGCCCGGGACGCGGCGUGCUCCUGGUGCCGCUGCCGCGGGGCGUCCUCAGGCCGUGACUCAACCCGUUGGCUGGCCCGGGCGACGCCGUGCGUGCUCGCCCGACUGCCCCUGGCACUGGGGGCAGCCAGUCCCCUCGGCCGAUUGUCGGUCGAUGGCCGAGGAGGCGGCGGAGGCAGCUGCGUUUGCUGCACCCUCGAGGGCUCGGGGUUCUCCUGAGCCCCCGACUCAGGUCGCACGUCGUGCGACCACGUGUGUGCCGCUGGGGCCUCACGCGGGUCUAUGCGCGAGUCACCAGCCCGCUUGGGGGGCAUGGUGACUAGACUCGUCGGUGAAGAAGAGCGAAGCCGACGCCGAUGGAAACUCUGCUGCCGGCGAUCUCCGGCGUUGUCCACUCCCGCGCCCCCUACCAGGCGCGCCCGAUGUCGUCGCUCGGUGCUCCGACACCGGGGGCGUGCGGCCACGUCCCCCUUUUAGGUUCGGCGGAGACCCGGUGAUUGCCGGCACGGCCGAUGAGGCCCUACGGGGCCGGCGAGACGAAGUGCUAGGGGUACGCGCUAGUCCAAGAACAGAUGCACGCACGUUUUUUACCCAGGUUUGGGCCACCCGGAGGUGUAAAACCCUACGUCCUGCCUGUCUGAGCUGAUAUUGAUUACGGAUCAAAUGUUUACAAGUUGCCAGGCAAGCUCUCGGGCUUUCUCUCAGUGGCUAGGUACUCCUCACCGCUCUCUGCUGGCUGCCUACUGCAGCCACUAAGCGUCUGUCGAGCGAGCUUCGUCUGAACCACUAACUGACUAACCCCUUUGACCGUCGGCAUGGGUCCUCCUUUUAUACAUAAGGGGAUGCCACAUGUGCCACAGUGCAUGAGCUACAAGUGUCCAACGGGGAGGCAUGCAACUCCCCCAGGUGAGCUGGUGGCGUGCAUGGGUGCCACCUCCGCUGCUAGGGGCCUAAGACCCUAGGGUAAGAUUAGACAACCACUGUUCCUUGGAUCGGACGGGUAACUACCCGUCGGUCGGCUCGUUUACUGAGCCGUGCGCCUUAUUCCUUGCCUUGGUGGGACCGCGCGUCCCGCGCCCGCAUGGCGCUGUCCACUGGGCCCCACGCCCGAGGCGGGGGCACGCGCCCGGAAACCCUCAGUCCCAGCAAGUCGACCCCGGGAAGCACCCGGGCCCAACGCACCCGGGAACCCCCUCCCGGGAAGCGGCUUCCCGGGAGGUGCCCAGGCGGGAAUAUUCCCCGAAGCCCCGCUAGCCCCUUUCGGGCUGGUAGCUUGCCGGGGAGCUCAUAGACGCUCUCCGGGAUGAGACCUUCCCGGGAACCCAGGAACGGGGCCCGCGCGUCGCGCAGGAGUGGUACCCCGGGUGCCACUGGUGCGACAAUCACCCUUUUUGUGAUCGGACAAUCACGCCUCAUGUGUCCUCGGCCUCCACAAGUAAAACACUCGAUGGAAGAGGUGGAGUGUGUACUAGGUGCAGCUUUGGACACUCCUGAUUUUGGCGCCUCACUAUGAUAAACCUGGUUGGAGCGUGAAGAGGAUGUCGUCUUCGCACUAGAACCAGCAGACUCGGUCGGAGAACAACGCCAUGAAUUUGCAGGAGCUACAGCUUGACGUCGCUUGAAUUGUUGCUCCGCACACUCAGCUUGGUGCACAAGAUCCUGAAUAUCAUAAUAGCUAACCAUCUCCACAUGAUCUUGCACCUCAAUAUUCAAGCCAUUAAAGAAUGGAGACAUUGUGGCCUCCGGAUCCUCUCGUGUUCCUGUAUGUAUCAUCAGCAACUCCAUCUCUUUAUAGUACUCAUCCACAGAUUUUGUGCCUUGAGUGAGCUGCUGCAAUUUAUUGUACAUAUCUCUCUUGUAAUGCUCAGGAACAAAGCGAUGUCGCAUGAGGUCUUUCAUACCUCUCCACGAUGUUGGGCGAGUACGCAUACCAAGAAUUUGAUUCCACCAAAUGAGCACAUAACCGGUGAAUUCAACUGCAGCAAAUUGAAGUCUCCGCUCCUCGCUGUAAUGAUAGGAUGCAAAAAUCUGAUCCAUACGCAUCUCCCACUCCAAAUAAUCUUCCGGUCCACGAUCACUGAGAACGGAGGUAUGGACAAUUUGAUACGCCCAAAACCACCAUCAUUAUGUGGAACGCGAACAGCAUGACCAACCUGAUCACGACCAUGUGGUUGUCCAUGAAGAGCGCCUGCAGGACGAGCAACAAAUGGAUGAUGUUCGGGUGCAUCAUAGUCAAGCUCUCCAUCAGCAGCGUAGCCCACUUACUGACGAUUUUGCUGAUCAGCAGGUCGGUGACGAACCACGUCAUCAGGUUGUGCACGGGCAGGAGCAUCGCCCAAUGCAUCUAUCCGGGUAUCUAACUGCACAAUCUGUUCUGUCAACGCGGCAUGACUCCGACGGAUAAAAUUGCAAGUGCUAUCAAAACCAGCCCGGACAUUGGGAGCCAAAUCUUCUGCAAAAACAGGCGGUGCGAGUUCCUAGGACUCAUCGGCAGCAGCCACAGAAUUUUCCCCAGUCUUCGACAUCACCAUCACGUCAAACAAAAAGUUGGCAGGCAUAGAGAACCUCGCGCACACCAAGGAAGGACGGCAGGAGAGUCGUGCGCGUACCGGCCGAGAGAGGACGGUAGAGGAUCUCCAAGGGUAGAUCGGUUAUAAAGAUGCAGCGAUGGAAAACUCGCACGAAGGUGAAUCAGACGAGGACUCCCAGGCAGAAUCGGACGAGUACUCCCAGGCGGAAUCGGACGCAAACUCCUUGGCGGAAUCGGACGAGGACUCCCAGUAAAUAAUUCUCAGCAGAGAAUCGACAUGAGAAACCCGACGAAUCUGAUACCAAGAUAAUAAGGAUCAACGUGAUCCAAAAGGGUUUAGGCCCAAUCUUUCACGGCGAUCGAACUAGCAAGUAAAACAGCAACCCAUGGAAAUCAAUCUGAAGUAAUCCAGAUCAAAUCCCAUCAAUUCCUCACGUUGGAACAGAUUAGAAUCAACUCCACUGCAGGGCAUAACAUCAGAUCUUCAAGAUCAACAAGUAAACACGACGAUAUGCGCCCCCAAACAUUGGGACUUUUCUGGUCUAUUCUUAAUCUCGAAAAUUCAACUCUCUUACAACGACGGCUGCCAAGAACCCUUUAUAGGACGACUCUAACGCAACUUGGGUGGGACAGGCCCCACGCCACACAACUAAGGCCCAUAGGCUGAAGUAAAAGUGGUUUUGAACAGGCCCAAAAACAAUUAAACGAAAAUAAAGAAAACACUGCAGACUUAAAUAAAUCUCAAACUCUAAAACGAAGUAAACUUCAAAAGUGGUGGUGUUCUGAAAUUGGGCUUCACCUCAUCUUUGUGAUGAACUUGAACGCAAAAAGAUCUAAACCUCGGAAUAUAUGGAGUUGGUGAAAUAGCAGGAGUAAUAGAUAUCCUCCCCUCAUCAAAACCGGUUUUUAUUUAAGCACCGGUGCCUUUGUACAGGACAGGUGCAGUGUGUAAAAUUCCUACUUUCAUUAAAAAAAAUUGUACAUAUUCCUACAUGCAUGCAGUGUGUCAACUAUGGAGGGUCAAUAAAAGAACGGUUUUUUCCUUUAAGGCCAUCUUUCAUUCAUAGGAAAUGUGGGGGGAAAGUGUACGGAUAGAAAAUUUUCCUUUGGUGGCACUAUUCACUCCUUUGAUUCAAAGGAAUUGGGUAAAGUAAAAGUGGAGGAAAAAAUCCUUUGAUCUUUGUUUCAAAGGAAAAAAAUGUAGGAAUUUAACAAUCCACGUAGACCUUUUUUUGAGUUUCCAUGCACAUAAAACGAGACGAGAGUGUUCAUUUGUAUAAUAACAUUCUAAUUAUACUAACGGAAUCUAGGUAGCAGUUGGCUGAGAAACCAUUACCAUUUUUCUCAGUCGAUGGAAACGUGUAGCAGAUAAAACAACAUCCAACUAAAUGUAGACUGCGUCAGCUAGCUUGUUUCGGUGGUUUGUGAAUUGUGAUUAGAAGCCUUUCCUUCUUGCUUGCAGAUAAAACAACAUCCAACUAAAUGGCUAGGUAGCAGUUGGGUCGGACGUUGGAAUCAAUUUUUCUAUUUUUUUUGUUCCUUAUUCUUCUUUUUAAAUUUUUGUUUCUUAUUUAUACCUUGGUUUAUUUUUUAUUGUUUUUCCUUGUUUUCAUUUUCUUUUUGCUUUUUUCAUAUGCAACUCAUUAACAAUGCACAUGUAUGUUUGCCUCUUUGUAUUUCGUCUAUUUAGUUUAUUCGGCUGUGUUUAUCACAAAUGGUUGAUGCGUGUUUGUCUAAGCCCCUAUUUUUAUUAUGAACUGCACACUCCGAGUUUCACAGUACCUAGACAUAUUUUAGUAUAUAAAUAAGUUCAUAUUUAGACAAAGUUGAGUCAUUUAAUAUGGGACGGAGAGAGUAUGUGUUAUUCUAACGUAUAAUAGCAACACGAGCUAAUUUGCACAAUAAUUUUUUUUCUUGCGUUAUGUUUUUUUAAUCACUCGCAUAUUCUGAAGACCAUAAUUGCAUAGUAGGGUCAAUUGUCUCAGAAAUUAUAUGUAUUCAGUCGACGCCCUGGUCCAUUUGAUCUACUCGAGAUCCGUGCGAGUUGUGAGGUGUUUGUUUUUGUUUUUAAAGGGUGGCGGGCUCUUCAAUCUUGGAAUUCCUUCUCCUGUGGCCUUUCAAAGGGAACCACACACUGGACCUUGGGCCUAUGCCUGAAUCGAUUGCGAUUGCAGCCUCAUUCCUUUGGUGGGAUCGGCGCAACUUUGUGCACGAACAAAAGCUACAGAAACCAGAAGCUUCGGCUAUGAGUAUCAAAUUUCUUAUUUCAAACUUCACGAAAGCUUGUUCGCCAAAGGCCUCUCCUAAACGUAAUGGCUGGUCUAAACCUCCAGAGGGGAUGGUGAAGCUCAACGUGGAUGCGGCUUCCAAUCCGGAUGAUUUAUCGAGCGUUGUGGCUGCUGUUAUUCGGGACGAGGCCGGUCACUUUGUUGCUGGUGCAAAUGAGAGGAUUAAUUAGUGUGCCGAUGCUCAUAUUGCCGAGACCCACUCAAGUUUGCCUUGAAUCUGGCCCUCUCGAUUGGCUGCUUUAGAGUCUUGGUGAAUGGCGAUAAUCUCCAAGUGAUUGAGACUAUGGUUGACGGCGUCCCCUCAUCAACUCUUGUAGCAUGUGUCCGACGAGUUCGUAAUAAUCCGCUUUGAACAUUGCGCUCAAGAGGCGAACUGUGUGGCCCAUGAACUGGCUAAGGUAGCUAGAUUUUCAGACCAGGGGAUUUGGCUCGAUGACCCUCCUCCCUGUAUGUUCCCUUUCUGGUCUCUGAUGUAACUCUCCUCAAUGAUCAAUAAAGUGCUUGCUUAGUUUCAAAAAAAAAAGUUGGGUUUUGUCUAGAUCCAUGGCGGGGUCCUAGGUUUUUUUUUUGUUCGGAGGCCCGUUUUAGGGGGAUGCCUAUGUUUCUUCCUUUUAGAAAUGCGCAAUGGAUAGUUUUAGCUUAAGAAAAUUGCAUAUAAAUUUUACGUGCAACUUUAAAAUUGCCCAUUAAAUUUCAGUGCAACUUUUGAAAUUUCACGUGCAAGUUUUAAAAUUGCAGAUCAAAUUUCAGUGCAAGUUUUAACAUUUCACGUGCAAGUUUUAAAUUGCAGAUAAAAAUUCACAUGCAAUUUUUAAAAUUUUGAUCAUUAUUCUUUUUGUUUGUUCUUUUCCUUUCUCCUUUUUCACUUUAAAGAAAUUGUGGUUUGCCUUGGAUUUGGUUGUGCUGUGUUGUGCCGUGCAUGUGUUAUGCUUUGUCCCAAGGGGUCAUUUUUCCGGCCGAAGCAUUUGUCUUUGUAAACAGAAGGACCAAAGCUCAAAGUCCCAAUUUUACAGUGAUUAUCUCGCGGCAUCUGCAUGCCAAGGACAGUCUUCCUAGCUGGAGUAAGAAACACACCUAUCUGCUAUUUGUAACAAAAUGGAGCAGCUUAGGGCCGAUCGACUGAGAAAUUAGAAUCUCAACCGACUGACCCGCAGUCAGACCCUUAUACUAAUCCAUAUGGUUUGAUUUUAAUUUGACUGUGUUUAGUAGAAUUCUUGUGUUUUUCUUAUUCCUGGAAUCAAACAGCCAUGUUUACAAAAUUCCUUUGUUUUUGAAUCGUCUGUUUUACACAUGCAUUCCUAUCAUAUUCCUGUGCUUUUCCUAUUUCUGCAUUUUCAAAGUCCUAUGAAUCAAAUGGGCCCUAAGAUUCUGAACGAAUGACGGAAAUAGAAGAGUGCAAUGGCAUCCAAAGAAUAAUCCAACGGCUCUCAUACAUUAACCAAGGUUUAUGCAUAUUUCUUAAAAAAUCAGACAACUAAAAAAUGACCACACCCAUAAAAGAAAUGGAAAAAGGCAAAACAAGAAUUGAAGGCUGGAGUAUCAAUCACAGUCAAACCUCUGGACUGAAUUUUCUAGGAUACUACAGAAUGCAGAGAAAACAAGUCCUCCAAAUCUAUAACUUUUUGAUGUUGUUGUAAAGCGCAUGCCUAUAGUGGUCGGAGAUCAACCCUAAAUGUGCAAGCAAAAUAAGCAUUUUUUAAUAGUUAAAGGCAAAAAUGGUCCUUAAGCAAUGGACCAUCAUAUAAGAACAGAGGAAAGGCGAUGAUCAGAUAGGCAGGCUCACCUGGACCACCCUCACGUCUAGUAUACCAUAUGGUCCUGCCGCCUAGCACAAGAAUUUGCAACACUGCCUGUUUGGCACAUCCAGCCUACGGAGGAUGUACAUCCAUCUCCAGCCUGCCUACACCUCCCUAUGUUCCAGUCCACGACAAGAAAUAACCAGCCAAACCGGCAAUUACAUGUAUCUAAACAUUUUUAAACAUAAAUACAUUCAUAUUUUAGCAAAUUUGAGAUGAAUAAUAUUCGUCCAAAAAAAAGAGGGGGGUUCUCGGAGGAACUGGGAGUAGCUUUAAAUAGUCCAUUUUAACUUUCCUGCCCAGAAAAAGAAAGGCAGGCUACUAGGAUGGCUAGGUGGAGUAGAAAAAGACAGCAGAGGACAUGUCAUGAAUCUCGUCUGGCCUAUCCCCAGUACAUGCACCAGUCCCAAAACAACAUCCGCCACACCAACCAUGCAUGGCGACAUCCAACAUCACAGUAGAGCCAGAGGGCGCCACCCUACUGGACAAGAUAUGAAAAGCUGAAAGCGACAAGGCACGGUAUGGGGCAUCAGAAACUAGAGGUGAGCAGGUGGCAGAGAUCAUCAGCAUACGGUGACCACUGGCAAGCUCCCUACGCGAAACCCAAGCUUAGUCAGUGAUGAGCAGUGGAUGCAACCAGAAAUAGCUGCUGGAUAGCUUAAAGGGUGCAGCUUGCAUUGCUUGGCUCAGUGCACAGGUGCCACAGAGGGCUUGCUCAAUGUUUAGAUUAAGAGCACUGCUAUGCGCUACGACCACUGUUUUGUAAGAUAACGACGAUACGACCAUUAAGGGCUUCUUCCUCUCUCAGAAAAGAAAGAAAGAACGAAUUAAGGGCCUCUUUGAUCUGGAAGAAGAGUGAAUGAAAAACAUAAAAAAUAUAAAAUUUUACUUUUAUUGGCACUAUCCAUCCAUUUUAUUUAAAGGAAAGCACACGCAUGAAUUUUACAAUCCACAUGGACCCUUUUUUAUAUUCUUUGAAUAGAAAAACAAGACAACAGUUUUUAAUGAUGUAAUACAAUUAUAACUUUAUUUUUGCAUUUGGUUUCACUUAAUUUGACUAUUUUAUUAAGAUUCCUAUGUUUUUCCUAUUCCUGCGAAUCAAAAGACCAAAUCUACAAAAUGUCCGUGUUUUCAAUCCUGGCUUUUGCACAUGUAAUAAGUUCCCACCCUAUUCAUUUGUUUUUCUUAUUCCUACGUUUUCAAAAUCCUGCGAAUCAAAAGACCAAAUCUACACAAUGUCCUUGUUUUCAAUCCUCGCUUUUGCACAUGUAAUAAGUUCCUAUCCUAUUCAUUUGUUUUUCUUGUUCCUAUGUUUUCAAAAUCCUUCGAAUCAAAGAGCUGUGACACUUGAAUAGUAGGGCCAAUCACCCAGCCAAGAGUCUCAAUUGAUUUUAUUUCAGUUGGGGUUACAUGGGAUUUUACCUGGUAAUCCGCUCAUGAUUCACGGCGUCAAAAUGAAAAUAAAGAAUCAUAAGCAUGAUAAGUUAUGAUCAUAGCCAGGUAGAAUCCGGACUUCCGGAGAGGGAGAGAGGUCAUAAGGAGCCUCCCUCGCACACUCUACAAACAAAUGGCGCUGAUAAGCUGGUUUACUAACAAGCCGUAGAGCCGCCAUCUGUAGCUGAAGGGAUGUCUGUCAGGCCGUCGGAGGAAAGUACAGCCGGUGGCCGGCGAAUGGAUGGGGUUGGGUGGCGGUAGAGAAUCCUGAUGAUGCUGCAGUAGCGAGCAAUGGCACAGGGGAUCGGGGACCCUGCAUUUGCCAUGACCAAGCGGGGAAGGACUGGGUACCCAAGUCAGAUCUUUUCUCCACAGGUACUUCCUGCAGAUGUCACAACACAAGCAUAAGUGUUGUCACAGUAAUUAUUCAACCCCCAACAUAUCCUGCUAACAAUCUCUACUACGCUAAGCGAUCAGGACAGAGCUUUCACCGCAUCACAAAGAUACAAAUUAUGCAAAACUGAGCAUGAAAUAGGCGGUUCAUGCUAGUUGAUCAUUUAUGAACAUGUACAGCAUCUUCAAAACUAAAGCAGCAGGAUGCAGCAAGAAAGUACUAAGAUACAUCAAAUGCAAUGUCAUCAACUGUACAGCUGUAGUUCAUAGAGAGUUGCCAGCUGGCAGAUUCAUUCCAUUGAAAUAUCAAGGCAGCUCACAAGGAAAAUAGUGAACGUUUAAAAAAAAGGCAAAUAGUAUCUAGUACUCUUCAGCUACACAUGUUUCUUAAAUGCAAAAAUGUAUCUUACCACUUUAUCAGAAGAAAUGCAGCUAGAAAAAAAUUCAACAGAAACACGUGAAAAGAAUACAAGCAUAACAGUCUAUGUUGCAAAAGGAAAAACUAAUUAGGAAACAUAGACAGUUAAGAAAAGUUCUACAUACACUUCCGGACAUGCAAAUGUUUGCAUGGAAAUACUUAACAUGAUGUGCUGAAUUAUAGCAAAAAUUACAACAUAUACUAUCCGCAUUCUGAGAAACAAAGGACUCCUAUAACAACACAUAAUGAGGGGAUUAGAAGUACCUUGACAUUAACAACGAUGCCCAGACAAGGAGAUGCAUACAAAUGUUGAUUCUGGGGUUGAAUUGAUGCUUCGGAGUGUAUCGGCCACUGAGGAUUAACUGGCUACAAAAGAAAAUCAGAAGAUGCAAGAUUCAGUGAAUUCUUUUGCAUCCUUUAUACCUCAGAUCACACUAGGAAAUCAAAGUCACUGUGUUUCAUGGCUUUGGAAUUAUUAUGCGUUUUGCUUUGUGCAAGUAGAUAUAGCCCAAAAAUAAUUGAGGUCAUCUCUUGAGAUGGUAGGUGUUUGAUAACCAAUGUUUCACAGUUUUAGUGAGCAGGACAACAGAGAAAACAAAGGUGACCGUUGUUUGUUUGCACAAGAUAUCCACAUUAAGUUUACUCUUUACUGUUAAGUAGUGUGGAGUCGCAGACCAGCAAAGUAGUCCAAAUGUGCAGAGAAUGACUCCCACAUAACUUCACUAAUUCUGUUAGAACUUAGAAGUUUACAUUUUGCAAUUAAUGACGAAAUAAAGAAAGUUGGUGGAAUGAAUCUAAAAAUAUAAUGAGGUGAAAUUGUAUACCUGUUGCAUAUGCCUAAUAUUGUAAUAUAUUUACCUGAGAAACAAAGGGCCUUGUAACUUGAGGAGAAUCACAACUCAACUCAAAGCCAGUCAGGAUGUCAUCACCUUUUAAGUCAUGUACUUUAGGCUGUGAAAUCCUCAAGUUUAAAUCAAUGAUGUCUUCAUCAACCACUGCUGAGAUAUGUUCCACUACGAUAUGGUCAGGUAUUGGUUUUCUGGUAUAAAAUUAUGAUGUGGACUGCUCUAGUGAAUAGACUUAAUAUAGAGAGAGCUCAAAUAGUACCCUCAUUCUCAGUCUCAGGUAGAACAUCUCUAUCAUAGGAAGUGGAGUCAAAAUUAGUAACAGCUUCCCUUCCAUUGAAGCGAACAGCUGCCCUGUCAUAUGCUCUACAAAAUUGACAAAUGAAAGUGAGAGACUGUUCAAGUUCAUGACGAAUAGAAACAUAUCAAUCAGUAUAGUACCUGGCUGCUUCAAUUUCACUAUCAAACAACCCAAGAUAGAUGUACCUGUGCAAAUGAUCACCUCUGAGUGGGAUAUUUACAGAGUUAUACUUGUGCUACUAUUAGUUUAGAACAAGAUCUUAGCAGAUUCUAUGCUGGCCAAUAGCUGAAGGACAGAAGGAUUGCAAUAGGUACCAAACACAUAACCUGUGUCGCGUAAUGUUCAAUUAAAAUAAAUGAGGAGAUUGUUAAUGGGAAAACAAUCAAGAGCAGUGAAGUGAAGCCUUCUCUUAGGAUUUUAGAAUAGACGCAAUACCAAUGCAAACAUAAACCUCUCUUUCAAUUAAUUGUACUGUAUACCACUCAGACUAUUUUCUUUCCUACAACAGCUACAAAUAUCAAAAUCUGAUGGUGCCUCUGAAUAUUAGGUGUCUAAGCGUCAUGUUCUGUUCAUUUUGACACACUAUCAUGGUAUGAGAAAUUGAGAAGCAAAGGCCUCGAGGUUCAAGCUACUCUAAAGUUCAUUGGAUGUUGCUACAACCAGAGUAAUCAGUAUUUCAGGUAUCCUUACUUCUUGCCGAGCAGCUGCCCCAUCCUAGCUUCCCACCGGCCACACUUGUGCAGCGUAACACCUCGGUACUUUGAGUUGCCCCUUGCAAAUCCUGUGCUCUGGCGCCGCAGUAUGUGCACAAACUCCUCCUUGGUCCAAUUCUUCAUCUAACAACUCACACUGAUCCAUCAGAAACUAUCACACAGGAAAAAAAAAACUAAAAACCUAAAGAAUCAUAGAUCACAUGUCUGAUCCAUCAUCAUGAAUACCUGCUUUAAGUCCUCCUCAUAGUCAUUCAGACUGAAGUUGAUAUCUGCUUCAAGGCCUCUGAAUUUGAUUGCAGCACGAUCAUAGGCCCUGCACAACGGAUGAAACAAUCUCAGCACACUCAAAACUACGGGAUGCACCUAAUACAAACACAAUUGACGCAAGGUUCUAACCUUGCAGCUGCAUGCGCUGUAUCGAAACCACCUACAGGAAAAAAAAUCAUGCCAAGCAAAACACAAAAUUGACACUUGGCCGCAACUUGAGAUAGGAAACUAGAAUUGGAGCUCACCCAGGUAGACCUGCUUCCCGCAAUCCCUGCACAAGGCCACGCAAACGAUAGGUUUAUUAGCAAGUGCAAGCAACGCAAGAACGCGGAAGCGUGAGAGGGAUUCGACUGACCAGAUGUGCGACUCCCAGCGGCCAGUCCUCCUGUAGAAGGUGACGCCCCUGUACUGCGAGCUCCUUGACCUCGGGCCCCGCCGGCUCUUCUUCCCACCCGCGCCGCCUGGCGCCACCCCGAGAUCCGCCGGGAGACGGGGCAAGGAAUCGGGCGGCAGCGGUGGAGAAUCAUCUGACGCGGCAACCGCCGCCGCAGCAGCAUGAAACCCCGCAUCCGGCGACGGGAAGAGCUGGUGCGUCAUGACAGGCAGCAGGCACCCCUCGUCGUCGGCGCUCCCGCCGAGCAGGUCAAACCUGAACCCGCCGGAAUCGGGCGGCGAUGAGCUCGAGGUCGCGGAGCCCGAGCCGCCCGGCGACUCCGCAUUGAGAUCCAGCACCAUAGUAGCCGCCGCUUCGCAGGGGCGAGAGCGCGUCGUCCCGAUCCGGUCGAGCUCAGCGACGGCCUCUAGCGUCCAGGCGCGGCGGCCUGGUGGGAGCGUGCGGCGGGGGCGGCCAUGGAGGGAGUUUGGAGUGGAAAUGGGAGGAGGGGAGGGGAGGUGGUGAGGCGAGAGGAAAAGGGGGGAAGGCAGAGGAAUCGAGGAGGGGACGUGAGAGAGACGAAGGGCAUCGCCGGUAAAACCAUUUUUGUGCAAGGUUUCGUCGCCAAAUGCUACGCGAACACAGCUACAUGGCGACCCAUCAAUGUUGGGUGAGGUUUAGCGUUUUUGGAUUUACAAAGAGUAAAGUGCAUUUUAAACCUUAACUUUAUAGACGUCGAUCAUAUCAAACCCUGACCUUAAAAAUCCUGAAAUUGGCACCCUGAACUUUGCAAUCCCGGUCAAUAGGCUCAAAAACGUGUUUUCCAAACAGGAAUGGCUCACGUGGCAAAAAAUUGGUCCCACCGACACGUGGGACCCACACAUAAGUGAGGCAAACAUCAUUUUCCUCCCUCUUUCUCUUCCUCCCCAGAGUUUCUUCCCCAAAUCACCACAACGCCCUGCCGCUCCCUGCCCUCAUGCCGGCCCGCCCGCCGGCCCGCCGGCCUUGCCCUGCAGCCGCUCCCCGCCGUUUGAAGAUGCUUGCCAGACAGGGGCCGCCUGCUAGCCGCACUCUCCAAGAGGAAGGACCUGUUGUCCGCCGCUCCGUGGCCUCGUCGUGUUCACGGAGGUGCUGAUGAACGCCGUGAGCUCCCACGCGCAUUUCCAUUUUCUCGGCGGCGAGGGCAUCCAGCGGGAGUGCCUCCGAUCCCAUCUUGAACUUGCCACGUCAGCAAACCCAGGUUGCAAAUCCCGUUUUAUCCGCUAUAGACAGGGGUUGAGGAGUAUGGGGUGCCAAAUUCAUGGAUUAGAAGGUCGAGGUUUGAUGUGAUCCACCUCUACAAAGAUAGGGUUUAAAUUGGACUUUACUCAUUUAUAAAUAUCUUGUUAACCAAUUUUAUAAUUAAAAGUGUUUUGCGAAAUGAAGUGGACAAAGAAAUUUGCUAACAAAAUAGAAAAAUAGAUUUUCAGAUAUUGUUCUUCAAAAAUUAGAUUACUUGAACAUGUUUAGCCAUUGUAUUUGGUUCCGUACAAUAGCUUGAAAUACUUAAAAAAAAGUCAAUGUUAUUCCACGUGUAAGAAAAGUGAGAGGGGGGGAUGGACCACCUCGGCUAUGUGUCUGAGACGGCGUACAUAACAACUACUGCUACAAAUCUGUUGUCACGAUGAACAAAUGCAAAAAAAUAUAAUAGUAUGCGAAGAUAGAAGCUGACCCAAUGGUUUCAAAAGUUACACUAACUAGUGAAUUCCCCGCGCGUUGCUGAAAGCAAGCAUGCUCCACGUGCAUGGACCAAGAACAGCACAAGAUUCGCAUAGAACAUCCGAGAAAUCCAAGUAGGAAAAGAAACCUUAAAUUUGUCGAGCCGGUCCUGGGAAAGCUUUGAGGGCUUGAAUCCUGGGUCAAGUUUUUUUUAAUAUGUAGCCUACUUGAUGCGAGCGCUUCCUCCUUACCACCCCCUCGUCGCCUCCAUCGGCUUCUCGUAAGCCGCCUCCUCCUCCCCCCAUCUCUUGCUUUGCCCUUUCCUUUUUUGUUCAAUUUCAUGCCUGCUUUUUGUUAGGGGGAAAAAGACUCCCAUCAUCCCAUGCCUGCUAAGUUUCUCAAAUAUUGAUAUUCAUUCUCCAACUUCGAUCUCUCUUUGGACACGCAGGUCCCGAGCAAGCCCAACCCAUCUGUUCCUUCCCCGUCUGCAGACGAAAUAUCAGUUUUUUUUAAAGAAUCUAGGUGAAAUGUCCAUGCGUUGCAACGGGGCAACAAAAUAAAAUGGUAAACUUAAAGACAUGCAUCAAAAUUUUCUGUUUGAUCUUUUUUGACGAGCACCAAACAUCCUUGUAAAACAGGUUUUCUAAAGAUAUUCUCACUAUUUUCUACUCUCACAAAACAACAACCGGAAUUUAUAAUGAACAAACAUCCGCUCCUUAGUCUCCCAGAGCAAAUAAGAAUGGGAAUUAGCAUAUCAUAUUGUAAGUUUUUGUUCAUAUACUUCUCUACUCAAGUGAUGAACGGAUCAAUCUCUUCAUUGACAUGCUAUUUUAGAAGUUCCUUUGCCCCCUCCCUUGGCAUAGUGAACAACAUUGAAGAUAAGGCCAAAAGGGGCAUUCAUGUGGGUACCAUGCAAAUCCCUUUGCCUUUUCGUAGACACUCGCUAAUGAUUCAACUGGAAAUUAGUCCCGUCCAUGAGCGUGCGUCCUUCGAUCGUGAUUGCCAGCCCUCCGCCGGCCAUGUUCGGAUGCUCUGGGUCUUCACCGCACACCGACGGGAGCGCUCGCCGGACGCCGGCUGCGAUCCCCCGCGCCUUGGCCGUCCACGUACGCCGGCCACCUUCGAGAACGCUCGCCGGAUCAUCCCCGCCCUACGCAUGCCCCACGCGGGAGCAUUGGACCUUCUCCCGCCACGUUCGGGAGCGCUCACGGGAUGCCGGCUGUGAUACCCCGACCUCCACCAUGUCCAAGAGCUCAUGUUAGAAGUUUCAACCUGUUCAAGAGAUCAUGAGUUGCAUAAUUUUUAGAUGGGCUUCAUGUCCAUUCUUUGCUGUCUUAGCUGCUUGUUUUCUGAAACCAUGGAACUAUCUUUUGCCCAUAUUUUGAGGUGUUGCAGGAAACUGUUGAAGAACUGAAGCUAUAUUUUCUUUUCAGCUAUGCUAAAAUCUGCACAUAUUCAAGUAUUCUUUCUACAGUCACAUUGAUUCCGCUAAACCAAUCUGCAAUUACAUCCUGGGAGAUCUAAAUUGAUUCAGUGUACAGAGUAAUUCAUUCGAGUAUUCUUUGUACAGUUAAGUGAUUUGGCUAAACCAAUAUGCAACUACAAAUCUAUACAUCCCAAUUUAUUCAGUGGAUAGCAAAAAAAUUCCUGUGCAUUCACAUUAAUUCAUGUAUCCUUUGUACAGUCACAAGAUUCGGCUAAACCAACCUGCAAUUGCAAAUCUGAACAUCCAAUUGAUUGAGUGUACAACAAAGCACCUAAGCAUUGAUUCAGCUACAGAAUAACAUCACAGAAUUGAUUCAGCUUCAACAAGCAGACAGAAGCUAUCCAAAAUUAUCGGCCCAGUUUCCCCUUCAUUCAUCUACAUAACAGCUUCAGCAAACACAGGUUCAGAUAACAGCAAGCAGACAGUAGAUUCAACAACGGCAGGUUCGUCAGCUUCGUCGUCGCCUGGGGUCAACGCCGCGCAGGGGCAUCAACGUGGUUGUCCGGUCUCCUGGGGCCACCGCCAUCGCAGGGAAAGCAAGCCGUCCGGACACCAAGCCAUGGGGGCACCGUCGAAGGCUGCUAUCUCUACCUCGUGCGGUCCAGCGCCGGGUCGCCGGAUAGCAGAGGUGGCCUUCGCGCACGGCAGGUCGACGAUCCGCGUAGGUAUCUUCCUCUGCAAGCUCCGCCAGGGCCGCCGCCGCCCGCUCAGCGACGCCAAGGCCGCCACCGGCAGCGCGGGUGGUUAGCGCCGCGCCGCCGCCACAGCGUGUGGUUAGCCUCGCUGCCGCCCACCGCGAUUCGGUCGCUCCAUGGCAGAACCGCGGCAUAGGUCGUCUUCGCACGCUUGGGGAGCGGCGCCACCGUCGGCCCCUCGCCGGUGCGGAUCGAAUCGGACGGGAGAAUUGGGGAUAACUUCCUGAGGCUUGCUGCGGCGGAGGAAGGCGACCGGGCGGGGGCGGGGAGAUAUUUUUUCGCAAAGAGGUACAAGACGCGGGGGGGCGAAGGGGUGUUACGACAGCCGACCAAAACGCGUGAGGAAGACAACGGUCCGUAUUUUUUAAGAUAGAUAUAGAUAUAGAAAUGGUAAAUAUACUACUUCAGGUUUUAUUAGCAACUAGCGGAGUGUCCGUGCGUUGCUACGGAAUAAUCUUUCUCGUGCGAGAAAUCCGUUUCGUGUGGAGACUGAGGAGGACGGGAGUUUGCACUCGUGUCGUGCGAGAGAUCGAGAGGAGGAGGCUUGCGCUGAAGAUGGAUGAAGACGGACGGCUUCAGGACCUGGGGUAUUAGGUGUCAUAUUGAACGUAAUUUCGGUGCGUGACGUACCGCGACGCCUAUCAUUACCACCAACUCCAAUUUAAUAUAUUGGUAUAGAUAUGUAUCAUGUAACCCUGAUUGUCUUUCUCAUCAAACUAAUUUCAAAAAUUAACAAACAUGAACCAUAUGUCAACUCCCGUUUGGUGAGGAGACGGUCACUCGAAGCAAUCCACCAUAAAAGGAGCUAAUCAAGCUAAACAGUAUUCCACGUGUAUAAAAGUUGUAUUUUAUCAUGUACUCCCUCUGUUCCUAAAUUCUUGUAGGAACGGAAGGAAUACAAUACAACCAAAACGUUAAAGGCUGUUUUUUUUUAAAAACGUUAAAGGCCUCAAGCCGCAAGAGUGUAAAUUAAAAGUGGCACGACAAGAGAAAACAUAGAGCAGUGAGACCCGUAACUCAUAAAUUCAACGAUCACAACACAGAAUGGAAAACAGAAAGUAAUUUCUAUUCACUUUCACCAGACACCAGGUAUAAGGAUAAACCGAAUUAUAAACAAAUGCAUUUUCUCGAUCAGGCUUAGUAUCGAAGCGUGCAUCAUCAAGGACACCGACAUGGUUUUGCCAUGCAAACAUCGACAGAAAAAACUUCUAAAGCAUGCAAGAAGUGCAAAUUGGAGCACAAAACACAGAAAAUUAAAUUCGAUUCAUCUGCAAACAGAACAAAAUGUAGUGCAGGUGAACAGACAUUGCCAUAAGGUUCAGAAGAUCGAUCGUAUACAUGAGCAAGAUCAGCAGCACUUCUAAUUGCAUGAGAGAGCAAAGGAAGCAAAAUAAACAAGACGGUCAUGCAAGGACGAGUUAACUGUUAACACCUAGUGUUCUCUAACAUACUUUGACAAUAGUUGCAACAUCGGAAGAUAAAUUAGUGUUCAUUCAGCGUAGGAGAAGAACUCGUUGUGGCCCUCGAGCUGAUCCAGAGUGAACAUCGUCGGCCAUGGCGUGUAGCUCCCCAUGAGCCCCAUGGAUCCUUGGUCCUCUGCCGUCAUGGCCCACGACUCGUCAUCACUCGUCAAGCCGGUCUGCUGUUGCUCUCCAUCAUCAGUCUGAAGCCUGUAGAGAUCGUUGUCCAGCAGGUUGAAGCUGUCCACGCCGUUUAGGUUGAACACCACGCUCGAUGAAAGAUGGAUCUUGCGGAACACCAUCUCCCCGUCGUCCACUCCACUAUAGCGUCUGGCCGCAAGCACCGGUACUCCUCCAUGACCCAGCUGGUGGACGCCUUGCCCUUCCUGAAGCAGAGGCUCCUCCUCUCGCCCACCUUCAAACCGGAUUCAUCGUUGACGUCCCUUGUCUUCUGGAUUGUCCAGGUGCCGGCGCCGGCGACGCGCGCUGUCCUGGUGCGGCUCCCUUUCUGGCGUUUGGAGAGCGUGAAGAAGAAGCGGUCGCCGGUGCGAGGUCUUUGGGCUCGUGGUUGUAGAUGUCGACGCGGUGGAUGAGAUGCUCGGCGCCACGGGGCAGCGGCUCGCCGGAGAUGAGCCGCGGCAAGAAGUGGGUGACGACCUCCACCGGGCUAGGGUUGAAGCUGCAGAGGUAGAAGACCUCGCCCAGCUCUGCCUCUGCCUCCUCCAUUGGAUCGGAUGGGUUGCUGGAUGGGUUGAUUUCUUGCUCCAAUCGAUGAACGCAAAGCACUGGGAUCAAAGAAGACAGACAGCGGCGAAAUGUUGGAGACGUUUGGGGAUGGGGGUGAAUGUGAAUCUGCAAGGAGAGGUUUGGGGAUGGGGUGAGAAAAGUGACGGCGGAAUUUAAACCGGAUCGAUCGAUUCCAGACUGGCCUAUUUCCUUUCGCGUACGAAUUUAAGGAUCCACGCGUGUUGUUGCCUCCUAAAUUCCUACAACGAACUCGGGAGUAGUACAACUCAUCGGCUUGAGAGUUGAGACCGAAGCGUGCGCGACGAGUAAUUCAAGGGAUACUCUUUCCUAAAUCUGAGUUGCCUGAGAAUUUCCUAAAUCACCGCCGCGUGAGAUUCGUUCGAGCGUUUUCUUUUUCCUUGGAGAUUCGAGCGUUGUUUUUGAGAGGAUCGAGCGUGUGCAAAGGCAGCCCGUGGGCGUUCUUCAUUUCCUUUAUUUAUGUUGCCGGCCCACUUCUACUGGCCCAAUUGUGUUUUAUUGUUGGUAGGUGUGUCUUUGCCCCGUGUUGGUCGUAGUCGUAGCAUUUGUGCUGGUCGGACCUAGAGCAACUGAGCAAGGGGUCCUCCGGUGGUCAGCUUUGUGUUCCAUGGGCUUCUUGUCCUUCUUUUCUGCUGAUUUUAUAUCCAACCUAUUCAUCUUCGCCUGGAUUCAAUUGUCAAUGUAGAAAUUCAUUGGCUUCAUUUUGCUUCGAUGAAAAGAAAAGGCCACACUAAGCCACAGGAGAAGCAAUUUUUUUUUUCGAAAAGGAGGGUAACCCGCGAUGCAGAUGCACACAGCCAUACAGGAAAAACAAAUGCAAAAGGCUUGGCCCAAAUUUGGAACGAAUCUACGCACACACAAUCGACGUCUAAUAUUGUUGACUUGGUGGUAGAUGUAUUUCUUGUGCGUGAUGGCUACGGCAUUAACAUAUGCAAAUAUAUAGACAGAACCCAGUCCUACCAAUGGUCGGAACUGCUUCUCAACCUUUUUUGGAAUGCUUAUCUGUGCCAUAGUACCCUGUAGUAGUAUGAUCAAUUUAACGUUGAGAUGUGUGUUACUUAUAAAAUAUAAAAUUUCCAAUACAAAUGAUGAAUGUUUGCUAGAAGUGUACUUACGUCAUCAGCAAGAAUUAUUCCAUCAAUGCUGAUCAAAGGGUCUGCAGCUUUUGAGGACAUAUCUUCUGCAUCCCAUAACCGUAUGAGCCGUCCGAAAACCUUGCAGUUUUGCUGCCCUACAGUAAUUUCUUUAAAUCUUGUAGUGAAGCUCAUGAUUGACUUGUCUCUGAAAGAAGAUAUAACAUAUUAAUUUUGCAAGUAAAGUAAGCAUGUAAUAUUGUUGCUGAAAUAAGAGAAGAAUAUGCAAUUAAAAUAUUCUCGGUGCAAAUCCAAUAAAAUAUGGUAAGAUGCCAAAAAUGCAGAUUUGUGUUUGCAUAAUAUACCUUUAUUGUUUAAUGGAGGUUCCUAUUUUUUUUUAGAAUUAAGGAGCUCAGCUCUCGAUUUCAUUAAUGAAACCGCAAUAGUAUGUGUGAUAGAGGUCCAACAGAAAGAAAGAUUACAAUAGCUGGGCAUUAUGAACUAAUACUCCAGCAAACCAUAAAAGGUUCUAACAAGAAAUAUAAAAGGCACUGGGUCGACGACAUGUAGAUACAGACAUGUCGAUGGCUUCUUCUUUUGGUAUUGUGCAUCAGCUUGUAUCUCUCAUCGUCGCCUCCCUCCAAGCGCUAUGAGCAUGAGACACAUCAGACGCGACCUUGAUAGCCUGGAUGUGCCAUCCCUGAGCUUAUCACAGUCCGCUUCCUUUUGUAGCCCAGCCUAAAAAUUAAUCCAGUGACAAACAGAAAACAGACUAUUAGUAGGUUCUUUAAGUACUAAUCCCUUAAAAUAAAAACCAUUCCGACAUCUCCAGAUGCUCCAGCAGAGGACAGCGACGCCAACAGCCACAAGCUCUCGUUGGCGUCCCCUAAACUGUAACAUCCAGACAUCCAACAGGUCGUUAACUGAACUAGGUUCCUUGUCAGACAUCCAACAGGUCCUUAACUGAAUGCCGCGGAGUUAAUUUUUCUUUUACACGCUCAAAUAGCAGUUAAUGACUUUAUAAAUACUACAAUUAACAUCGCCUGAAUGAUCUUGGCUGCACGCAAUGUCAGAGGCACCAAUAUGCGGAUAACAGUUCUCGUUGACAAACAUCCGGAGAGACACGAGUAGUACGCAUAGCAUCUCCUUGCGGAAAAUAUCCACCGGACUAGUUUUUCAUUAGUUGUUCUGCGGCGUCCGCAUCCGUGGACAAUGCCUUCCCGGAGUAACCCAUUGAUGCCCCAGUGCAGUAAUGGCAACAAGCACAUGCACACUUGUUACGCGGGAACGUGACCCAGGAUUUCACUUGCACGUUAACCAACAGAUUUCACUCGCAAGUUUUUUACUAAUCCAGCCCCAAAAAUGUAUAUGUUCCUUUUGAAAUUUUCAUCCUUGUUUUGAUUGUUCUAUCAAUUUUUGUAAGUUUAUCGACUAAAAUGUUUCUAACCGCCAUCUGCCAGUUCUUCCUCAUUUUUAUAUUUUAUUUUAGGAAGUUACCGUGCAAGGAAAAAUCGAAGAAAGUAAGGAUGAGAUUUUUGAACUAAACAUGAAGGUCCACGUCGAAAGGACGACACCAAUGCACGGAGGAGGGUGCCUUGUGGCCCUCAGGUGGCCUGGGCCUAGGCCGCACCAGGGGCGCAUGGGGCCCACUAGUGGCCGCCACCUUCGCCCUUUGGACUACAUCUUCAUCACUCUUUGAUUUUUUUUGUCAUCAGGAAGAAGGUGAAAAUAAUAGAGAGAAAAACUACCAUAAAUUUUGCCACCAGCAAGGACGGAAUUGGAGGGGAAUGCCUCCAGAGCCUUAUUUUCACCCCAUUCAUCGAUUCCUGUUGCGCUCCCUGCUACAUAAUCCGUUAUUCUUGGAAGUUCCCCACUGACGCAAAACUAAAAAGCGUCAGUGCAGAUUCUUAUCUCUGAUGCUUCUUAUAAUUAAAGAUUGUCACAUGUAGCAUCCAGGAGGCCGCAACAAAAGAUAUUUCUGACACCUACCUCAGAGAAGCGUCAGAGAAAUUCCACACUUCUGACGCUUCAUUUCUACUGACGCUUUCUUACUUCGUAAGCGUCUUAACUACCUCCACCACCAUAAGCAUCUUCCUCUUUCCUCUUCCCCGGGCCGCGCACCUCGCCUUCUUCGGCGUGCUCAUGGAUGAUGUUGCCGACAUAUCAAGGCGCUUCUUGAUCUUGUCCACAACGAUCUGACGUGUGUACCUUGUAUGAAAUAGCAGAUCUUGUAUGCAAUGCAAUGUGAUGUGGUUGAUCUUAUAUGAAAUGUAACAGAUCUUGUCUGCAAUGUAAUGUGGUCGAUCUUGUAUGAAAUGUAGCAGAUCUUGCAUGCAAUGAAUGACAUUCAUAUUGGCUCAAUGUUUCCCUGUGAUUUAAAUUAAAAUUAUAUGGUUGACUCUGACGUUGACAGAAAAAAAAGACGACAGAUGUAACUUCUUUUCCUCUCAUAAGAACCAUCACCGACUUUUCUUGUUUAAGGAGGUGUCAAAGAUAACUAGCUCUGAUGCUUCUUUAGGCCCAAAAGAGUCAGCAAAAGUACCCUGAUAUGACCAAUGAGGCUCAGAGAAGACUAGUCCUCACACGUGUCCUGGAAGAACCGUCAGUAGGUUUUUCCUACUUCUGACGCUUGCCGACACAUCAGAAGUUCCCGAGUCAUCUCUGACACUUGAUUAAUGACACAUCCCAUUUGCGGCAGACUACAGGUUUUUGACGCGUCAGAAAAUAAGUGAUUUUGUAGUAGUGUCUCCAAUGAGUAGGGAGUAGUUCACCUCUCGGUCAUGGGUUUGUGGUAGAUUGUAUCCGAUCUCUCGAUGUACUCUAUUGUUUAUCGAACAUAUGAUUUGUCCUACAUGAUUAUGACCUACAUGGUGUAAUUCUUUUGUUUUGUGGAUCAUUUGUUGCGAUUUGAUAUAUGAUAUACAGUUCGUUUUCUUUUUGACAAAAGACAACAUCAUUGUUUCAAAUAUAUAAAGAAGAGUUACAUAUGAAUAACAACCAUCCGAGAAGAAAAGAGAUGGCUUACACGACGGUCAUCACCACAACAAAAGAACACAUGCAUUGCUAGAGCAUCACAACUAAGGCGAAGGACCACACGACACCAAGAUAAAAGCAAAGAACCCAACAUACAAGCCAACUUAGCUACCAUCACCAUAGUCACCAAAGCGAACAAAGUCAACCAGUGUAGCAAGCGUGACCGGAAGACCUCAUUCCCAUCUUCGAAGGGCGUUACAGAGUCGAUACUACACCGCACAUAAAUCUUAACCGCAAGACUUCGACGCAACAUGACAACCUAGAGAGAUAGAUGACAGUUAGUACUUAGAUGGUGUUACAAUAUUGUGCAUUUUUAUUAACACCGGGUAUGAAGAGCAUCUCUAGUAGACCCCUCCACAUAAGAUAGACCUUAAAACUAUUUUAUGAUAUCCCACAGGCUGCAAAGAAACAAAUCCCGCAAAUGUUUACCAUAAACCGAAUAUUCCUCUUCUUCUUCGGGUUGUGAUGGGAAUCGACGACCGGAGCAAGCUUUGUAGAACAUCGGAUGAGACACACUGAGGCCUGACAAAUCAGUGACGACGACACGUCAUGGCUACGCAGCCGGAUCUGGUUGGCUACCGUGACGACGGCCGAACUGAGCCACCCCGUGGAACUACACGCUGGAUUAAUGGUGGUCACGAGCUCGGGUCAAUUCCGGGCAGAAGGGACCUGACGGGUCGCGAGAUCCCAGAGGUGUGGGAUGGGCGCAACGAAUGACAAAAAAGCUUGUCGGUGGUGAUAAAAAACUACGGCAGUAGGCUGCGGCAGGAGCGGAUGGAAACGUGUGGGCUAAAACUCCAUCGCACCAAUAGUUUUCAAGCCUUCAAGAGGCACCAAAAAUUCCGUCAUGGGAACUGUGGGAAUAAAACGUGUGGAGAGGUGUUCCUAUGGUAAGUCUUAGUAUUUCGAGGUUUCAAAAUGUGGGAAAUCUGUUUGAAUCCAUUUUUUUCAUCCGAAACCAUAAAAUAACGAUUAUUCCAAGAGCGUGUGGCGAAAUGCGAAAUGUUGUAGAGAUGCUCUGACUCCAGCCUUGUUAAGGGUGAAACCGGAUCGGAUUCGGACGGAUAAUGCUCAUACCAUAUCCUAUUCCAUAUUUUUUAUCGGAUUCGGAAACAGUGAGGAUACAUAUUCGGACACGAAAACAUAUAUGGUACGGUAGCGGAACGAUGCCGAAUCGGAAACGGAUAAUGAUGAACGGAUAGUGCGUGCAUAGUAGUAAUAACAAACAAGUUCAUAGUCAUCAUUUAUGUUGGGCCUAGACCCCAAAUCAUGGCUAAGAUGGCAAGAAAACACACCAGAAGUAGGUUGGGAUAUAUUUUGAUAUGGGCUUUCUUGCACGACCAGUCUGGACUAGGGGGUUGCAUGUAACAUGUUGGUAAAACGGAUAAUAUCCGACUUACUGGGGUCGGAUUAUCCGAAAUUACAAUCGGAUAAUCUGGUAUCCUCUGGAUAAUGCUCAUACUAUAUCAUACUAGCAAAAGAACCCGUGCAAUGCUACGGAACAACGGAAAGUGUAUCAAGCACGAGUCGUUGGAGGCGAAGUCUGGACAUUGAUUUUUCGAUUAGAUUGAUUUCCAAACUGAGAUUGAUACCAAGAUUUUUUGUUUGGGUUCGGAUUGAUUUCCAUACUGAGAUGGAUACGAAGAAUUUUGGAUUUCAUGCUAAGGAGAUUGAUUUAUUUUAGGACUGUUCGUAUUAUGUUGUGACAAAUUUGAACCGUACGAUAACUUUCGGUAAAUCUAAACCUGGCAUAUUGAUUGUAAUUUUAAUGAAGUUGACUGACCAACACCGACCAACGGCCCCCACCCAUCACCACCGAUUUCAAUUUAAUAUAUUGUAAUAGAUAAUAGAUACCGUAUAAGACCGGAUAAUAAUUUCUCUUCUCGUAUUCUAUAAAAUUAAAUUCGGAAAGUAAUUAUCCUAACCACUUUCACCCGGAAAUAAUGUCUCCCGGACCCCACACUUCCGAAUGCCCAUCGCCCAUGCACCAUAGAACUGACAGACGGGUCCCACCUUUGGUGUCCCACGCAGGCCACGGUCGGAGCACCAGGUCACGCCCCCGUGGACCGCACCCCUUUACCUUAAAUUCCGUCCAGUGUCAGAGCUCCGACCUGAGCUCGCCUCAUACCGGAGGCGCCGACACUGCUGCCUGCGCCGCCGGCCGCCGAGCCGCCGUCGCCUCUGCCGAUGGAGAUGGCUCCCGCCCCCGUUUCGCCCACUCCUCGCACCGUAGAUGACAUCUACAAGGACUUCUCCAACCGCCGCACCGCCCUUGUCCGCGCCCUCACCGUCGGUAAGCGACACAAGCGACGCCCCCCUCUCGCUGUCUCUUUCCUCUCUUGCAGAUUGGAUCUAACUGCGACGGCGCCUCACCCCGUGUGCUCUCUUGGCUCUUGCAGAUGUGGACGACUUCUACGGGUUCUGCGACCCAGGUAAGAUCGGAUCGGAUCUGAGAGGUUCGGAAUGGUGGGUUUCGUCCAAUCUUCGUGGGUUUUGAUUGGGUUUCUUGGUUGGUGCGCAGAGAAGGAGAAUUUGUGCCUGUACGGAUACCCCAACGGCAGCUGGGAGGUCGCGCUGCCGGCCGAGGAGGUGCCGCCGGAGAUGCCCGAGCCGGCGCUUGGGAUUAACUUCGCCAGGGACGGGAUGAACCGCCGCGACUGGCUCUCGCUCGUCGCCGUCCACGCCGACUCGUGGCUGCUGGCCGUCGCUUUCUUCUUCGGUGCGCGCCUCAAUGCCAACGACAGGUACGGCCCCGCCUUCAUCAGAUCGGGAGGAGCUUGCCCUUCUCUUAAGUCUCUUUAAAUCUUUGCUCUGAAUGUCCAUUACGAUUGGAAAGAUAACUUCUUGGAGGGAUCAGAAAAAUUCUGAUGGAUAAUGUUGAUCUAGAUUCUUGGCUUGAUUGCGUAAUGCUCUUCUAGUGCUUGUGCGUGGGGUUUAUUGAUCUCUUAUUUUAUUUUAACCUCAACUGAUACAUGUGUGUGAUUGGGCUGUUGCACAUGUUUCUUAUGCUUCCUUCGUUCUGUUGCCCCUUUUCCUUUUUCUUUCUCUCUCUCUCUCUCUCUGCUGUGUACUAUGGGGCCAUGUUUCGCACUGUGUAUGCAAGCUUUAUUCUUUGUCUCUGUUUUUCCUUUGUUUCUCCUCCCUUUUAUGUAUAACAGCCCUUUGCCUUUGAUGGUUGCAACGUCAUUUAAGUCUUUUGGCACCGGCGAUCUUGGCUUGUAGAGUUCUUAUACUCUUCACAUUUAUAUCAGAUUGUGCUCAAAGAUUGAUAGUAUCUGCUAUGCUUGACUUUGUUUAUUUGGUGAGAAAUCGAAAAGGCGCCAUGAUGUCUGUGGUCACUAGUUACUCCCUCCGAUCCAUAUUAAUUUUAUUGUCUAAAUAUUACAUGUAUCUAGACAUUUUUUAGGCAUAGAUACUGCAUCCAUAUUUUGGCAAAUUUGAGACAAUUAAUAUGGAUCGGAGGGAGUAGUAUUUUGGAGUUUGGAUGAUGGAAAAUUCCUGAGUUUUCAUGCUCUUUGCUUUUCAGCAGUUUGGAUGCUUCAGGUGAUAUUUUGUGAUAUACCUGUUUUUGGGAAGUUGACAGUGAAGGUGUUUGAAAUUUGAGACAACAAAAUUUGUGAAAUGCAUGUAGAAUCCUAUUGUGUUAUCUAAUACUCCCUCCGUGUACUAAAACCACGACAAGAAUUUAGGGACGGAGGGAGUAUUCAUCAUACCACAAACUUCAAUUUGUCCUAUGGUUAUCAUAGAAGGCUUAAAAGGAAAAAAAGGAAUCCUUUAAGUCUAGUUCAUUUUUCUCAUCAAAUUGGGCCUUGCUUAUAGAAUGAUACCAGUCGAUGUGAAUCGUAAAGAAUAUGGUGGUCUUCUUCUUCCCAAAAAUUACCCUUCCCCUAUGUAUUCUUCCCAGAACUGGAGUACCGGUACAAAAUCACCUCCUCCAGAAUACCCAACAAGUUAUUGUUGAUCUUGCAUCACUGGUACAAAAAUUACCCUUCCCCUAUGAUCUCUUUCUUAGUUUUCUCUUGAAAUUUAUGUUAUAGAGACUACAAAAAGAACUGUGCACACUGAACAAUAUACUUUUGUCGUCCUAGAGGUUGAUGCAGAUGCAACACACACAUCUCUAUGUUGUACACAUGUGUGGCAGAUCUUGGCUGCAUGGUGGUCCACGGAUAACAUGGCGACGUCUUAGAUGCAACACAAAUGGUGCUGAUUGUCGGCUGUGGGAGUCAUAGGUCAUGACCUGGUGCUGGUGGCACUCUAGAGGAGAUGGGUGCUGUAUGACAGCGCGUGGAGCAUUUAAGUGAAUCGCGAAGUGGUAUAGAUCGGAGGCUGCCUAGGAGGCGCUGGAGCACAUGCUUUGUGAUCUCUGUGGCUGCCGCCAGGAUGGUGCGUACGAGGCGAGCUCGGUACCCAUAUUGGGUCAGGAAUAGGUUGGAUAGAGUCUUCGGAGGAAGACUAUGGGUGUAUAUGGUUUUGAGCCAAAGCUACCCAUGUGAAAAUAUUGGCAGCCCGUGAUAAUUUGGUGCUUGUUUGCUUUGUUGCAAAAAAUUUGGUUGUCAAUGAGUAUAUACCCAUCCGUUGCCCGUCAAUUGUUGGCUCAAGAAUUGUUGGCCAUAAAAUUGGUAAGCCAAAUUUUGCUUGAUUUGGUCGGGCUACGUUGCGCAUGAACCAAACAUGGUAUGCUUUUAAUUUUCAAGAUUACCCUAGACAGGUGGCAGUUAUUAAGUGGAGUCUAACUUGAUGAGUAAAGAGACCAGGUCUUAUAAGUCCCCUAUUUGGUAUGCCUGUUAGUUCUGUUUAUUCUCUUAGUUCUGUUUGUGUUGCUGCAUAAAAUGUUGUUUCUUUCCUUUAUUCAAAUUUACAGGUCAGCUUUCCUAAGAAAGAGCUUGCCGAUUUUGUUGCAUAAUCAAGAGCAAUGUUUAGAAGUCUUGUUUGUGUAAACUGUGUAGUUUGGUUGCACUAAUGGAUAGCAAGGCCUUUCUUUUAUGUUUUCUGCAAAUAGGCACAUCACAAGAUGUUCAAACAGUGCUUGCAGUGUCAUAUUAAUUCUGUUAAUCAUCUCGUGUUUGUACCCUUAAUUCUUUUACAAAAUUUGUUUUCUUACUUUUAUGCUUUUGCUGAAUCUUGAUAUUCUAUUUGUCAACCAUCAUAUUAUUUUUCCUUAGAUACUUUAUUGAUGACCUACUAUUUCAUUUGUGCCAAUUUGGUAUAUACAUGCUUUCCCUUUUAUUGUGCCAGCCAACGAUUAAAUAUUCUUCACACCCUUGGGUUUUUUUCCCCAUAGCUGAAGUGAUGGUUUUUGUUAUGUUCACUGUACUUUCCUUUUUUGCAUUAGGGACUAUAUUGCUAAACUAUGCGCUUGUGCCCUGUCUCUAUGUUCACUGUACUUUCCUAGAGCCACCUAUAGUGAAGCAUGAAUUUAUUAAUUAUCUGUACACUAAUCACCUCCAAAAAAACAAAGGGGCAACUCCAUUGCGAACGAGCACUUGGUGUAAUGGUUAAGGAACAACUCUAGUAGCACUCAGGUCCUGAGUUCGACUCCCCGUGGGAGUGAAUUUCAGGUUGGGGUUAAAAAAUCCUCUCGUCUGCCCCACGCCUUAAGCACAGAUCUAAGGCCUGCCCACUCUCACACGGGCUUCGGUGCCGCUGUGUAUGGUGUGGGGCAGGGGUUCGGGGGUUUCUCGACCUGCGUGAGAAGGUCUUCUUCUAAUGCAAAUGCCUGGGGGGUGGCCUACCCCUUUGCAGAUCCAGUUUUUUUAAUCACCUCCAGAAAACAAAGGGGGCAUUCUUAAUCUUAGGCACUCUGGAGUGUUCACCUGGAAACAUUCUUUAAUUUUUGUUGACCUUAGGGUAUGUUUGAUUUGAGCCCAAACCUGCCCUUCCAAAAAUUUGGCUAGCCAGAAAAUUGGCCAUUGUUUUGCUUGCCCAUGAGUUAGAACUUUGGCCCAAAAAAUGAAAUAGAGUUGGCUAAGGGGCAUUGGUAUGCCAAAUAGUUAGCAGCCAUCCAAACAAAGACCAAAUUGUUUGGUCAUGACCUAAAAAUUGGCGUGGUCCAUAUUGGCUGCAAUCCAAACAUAUCCUAAUUUCCAAUUCCUCUGGGCAUACUAUUAGCAUCAAUAUCUCAUGGUGAAAAUUGUGUCAGUACACAAGGAUAGUUUCCUGACUUGUGCCCUGCUAAUACAUUUUGCUGGGUACUUGUCAAUUAAUUUUCCAUGUUUGGCUGUCAUCUUUUCUUUUGUACCCCUGCAGAAUACACCUUUUGAAAGCAAAAGAACUAGCGGUGAAAUUGGUUGUAAUUGCCAAUCCAAAUCCAACAGCUAUACACUCCGGCUUUUGAAUCCAAGCACAAAAUGUGGUAAUAGGGUUUUGAGCACUGUCUUCCUACGGAAUCCGCUCGUUUUCACCCCUACAGAACUGUUGUGUUUAGGUUAAUUGUCAUGUCCUUCAAAGUCUUUUUAGAUUGCUGACAAACUAAUACCUAAUGAAUACCCUUCUUAGAUAUGCUUCAUGUAGAAAUAAAGACCACCGCUAUAUGUGGACUACUUGGUGUCGUGGAUUCUCUGUCUGAUUUAAAGUCACUGCCAUGACGCACAUCAUCAUUUUUUUUGGAUGCGACUUAUCAUAUCAUGAUUAAUAGUACGCCACAUAUCAGCUGCACUCAAUAUUUUGGAUUUCCGUUAGAUCAGAUCUUUCGCUUUGACAAAUUCGGACCUAUCGACUCUACUUCAUGUGAACAAGUAAAGAAGUAAGACGAGGAAGUGGAGCUGUCUUAGAAGCAGUAGCUUCCCCUGACAAGAUACACUACAACAGUAGUGACCAUGAAUAAAAAAGGCCCUAGUUUAACGAGUUUGCUGCUUUUCCCAGGCAGGACAGGUGACUAUUUGUUGAUUGAUCUUGAUCUUGUUUGUUUGGUGUGUGUUCAGUUUAGUGCGAUACAAAGUAGAAACUACAACUAGAUCAAAACAGAACGGCCGCCCACUAUAGAAGCUAUACUUGUUUCAAAACUCUAACUGAACCCUUGCCUGGAACUGAGACUUUGCUUCUUGUUUCAGGAAGCGCUUAUUCAGCAUGAUAAAUGACCAGUCCACUGUGCUUGAGUCAUUGUCUGAACGGAAGCAUGGGAGGGAUAAUAAAUCUGGUGGCGAUAACAGUGGCAAAUCCCGACACUCAGCGAAGGUGCCAUUUUAAUAUUCCUAUUUUCUUUCUCAUGUCAAAACAUUAUCCAGUUGUUUUCCUACAAACUGAAACCUAACUUCGUUAUGCAGCGAGCAAAUAAUGAUGUCCAGACAAAGAACCCAAGGCCAGUGGCUGUUGAUGUCGCCUACGAAGAUGACGAUGAACACAGCGAAACCCUUUGCGGAACCUGCAGCGGUCGCUACAAUGCAAGCGAGUUCUGGAUCGGGUGCGACAUUUGUGAGCGGUGGUUCCAUGGCAAGUGUGUGAGGAUAACUCCGGCAAAAGCGGAGCAUAUAAAGCACUACAAGUGCCCUGAUUGCAGCUCCAAGAAAAGCAGGCAAUAAAAACCAUGGAAGGUGCUGCCUCCCUGUUGCUGACUCAGCUGAUCAAUGAAACAAUACUCUUCUCCUCUAGUCCCGGUUUCCAGCAGAUGUGAGUUGCUUGUAGACAUUAUGCGCUGUUGUGUUAGAUGUUGGAAAGACAUACAGAAAUAGUUGGUUUUAUAAACUGGUCAAUUGCUCUUGUGGUUGUUCCUUGAGAUACGAACGACUGUGCAUUGUAGUGUUAAUUUAGAAGAAAUUUGUCCAUGCCAUCUUGUUUUGGUAUGUAAAUUCGUUUUUUUCUUUUAUUUGGUAUAUCUGUAUUGACUGCGUUGUGUUAGUGCUUCGAGUCGAGGAGUUUCCAGCCGAAUUAGUCUUACUCGUUUCGUUCUCAAGUCCCUUUUAAGGAAUUUCCAGCGAAAUUGGUUUAUUUUUUACGUGAGAUGUUCUGUAGGUGUCUUCUUAUUGGAUGACAUGAAUACAUUGCUGGUCCAGGUAUGGGUUGAUUGAGCAGAAUUGCAUGUUAACCCAGAUCAAAACCUGGGUUUAACUUGUCAUGGCUCUUCCAAGUUCUAAGACGGAGCAUCCUUUGAGUAGCAGUCAACCUACCAGUUGGCGGUAAGGUGCCAAUGAGAGCGUGAAGGUGUGUUUGCUCAACCAGAAACAAAUUUUCAAACAAAUUUUUCGUCUCACCCGGGUCAGUGUCACCCGUCGCGGUCGUGAGGGGAGCAUUGCGUGCUUUGUGCAGCAAAACCUCCUCUCCGAAUCCUCAUCUCAAUUCUUUCGUUGACUUCAAUUAUAUACCCCGUUUGGCGUUUGCCUUUGGUCGCGUUUCUUGGCUCGGAUCGUCGUCCUCGAUCGGUUCGAGUCACGAUGAGUGGCGGCGAGCUCCGUCGGGGAGCGCUUGAGGAGAGCCUGCUGCUGACGGGGAGGACGCAGUGGGACAAGACAUACCUGGACGUGCUGGGCGUGUGCUGCUCGGCGGAGGUCGCGCUCGUGGAGAGGCUCCUCUCGCCGCUCGCCGGCGUGAGGACGGUGUCCGUCGUCGUCCCCUCCAGGACCGUUGUCGUCCAGCACGACCCCGCCGCCGUCUCCCAGUCCCACAUCGGUACUAAAACUCCCUCUUUUACUUUCAAGCCUAAACCAACAAAAUUCUAACGUUGCUGUGAACUGGCGCUUUGCGCCGGCCGGCAGUGAAGGUUCUGAACGGGGCAGGCCUGGAGGCGUCGGUGCGAGCCUAUGGGAGCAGCGGGAUCAUCAGCCGGUGGCCCAGCCCGUACAUCCUCGCCUCCGGCGUCCUCCUCCUGGCGUCCUCCCUGAGCUGGCUCCUCCCUGAUCCCCUGCAUCAUCUGCAGUGGCUGGCCCUGGCCGCGGCCUUCGUCGGCGCUCCCCCGAUGCUGCUCCGGGGCUUCGCGGCCGCCAGCAGGCUCACGCUGGACAUCAACGUCCUGAUGCUCAUCGCCGUCGCCGGCGCCGCCGCUCUCGGGGACUACACUGAGGCCGGCGCCAUCGUCUUCCUCUUCACCACCGCCGAAUGGCUCGAGACCCUGGCUUGCACCAAGGUAAUCAAGAACGAGCCUCUUCCAGAACUCCAGGUCUUCAGAAACUUUUGAUUGGACGGAAUCCUAUGUUGACCUUAAUUUGCGUGGUCAGGCUAGCGCCGGCAUGUCGUCGUUGAUGAGCAUGAUCCCGCCAAAGGCAGUGCUCGCGGAGACGGGUCAGGUGGUCAACGUGAGCGACAUCGGUGUAGGCGCCGUCGUCGCCGUCAGGGCCGGCGAGGUGGUCCCGGUCGACGGCGUGGUGGUGGACGGGCAGAGCGAGGUCGACGAGAGGAGCCUCACCGGGGAGUCCUACCCGGUGCCCAAGCAGCCGCAGUCCGAGGUCUGGGCCGGCACCCUCAAUUUGGAUGGUAAUCUCAAAGUGGAUUCCCAGACCACAGUAGUACUCCGUAACAUUUUGCACACAAAAUUCUCAAGGCCAAGGCAACCAUGUUCUUGAUCUGGUCCCUUUCUUGCAGGCUACAUUGCCGUGAGGACAAGUGCUCUUGCGGAGAACUCGACGGUGGCCAGGAUGGAGAAGCUGGUGGAAGAGGCCCAGAACAGCAGGUCCAAGACGCAGCGGCUUAUCGAUUCCUGCGCGAAAUACUACACGCCAGCCGUGGUGGUCAUGGGGGCAGGGGUGGCGCUGCCGCCGCUGCUGCUGGGAGCAGGGGACCCGGAGCGGUGGUUCAGGCUGUCCCUGGUGCUGCUGGUGAGCGCGUGCCCGUGCGCGCUGGUGCUGUCGACGCCCGUGGCCACCUUCUGCGCGCUCCUCACGGCGGCCAGGAUGGGUGUCCUAAUCAAGGGAGGGGACGUCCUCGAGUCCCUGGGGGAGAUCACGGCCGUCGCCUUCGACAAGACCGGCACCAUCACCAGAGGCGAGUUCAGCAUCGCCGCGUUCCAUGUGGUCGCGGACAAGGUUCAGAUCACCCACCUUCUUUACUGGUAAAUAUGUUCACUUCCACUUUCACCCCUGAAACUCAUGUGUGUGAAGUGAAAUGAUGAUUUCUUGUUGCAGGGUGUCAAGCAUCGAGAGCAAAUCGAGCCAUCCAAUGGCGGCUGCACUUGUGGAGUACGCGCGGUCCAAAUCUAUCCAGCCAAAGCCGGAGAAUGUCGCCGAGUUUCGCGUGAUUCCCGGAGAGGGCGUCUAUGGAGAGAUCCAUGGAAGGCACAUCUACAUCGGAAACAAGAGGGCGGCCCUGGCAAGGGGAUCGUGUCACACAGGUGAACACUUGCUGCUUGAAAAAUGAUGUUUUGUUUCAGAAGAAACUGACUCAACUGAACUCAACUUUGUGUCGACGUUGACAGUUCCAGAGAAAAAGGACGGUGAUCUGAAAGGCGUGUCCGUGGGAUACGUGAUCUGCGACGGGGACCUCGUCGGGGCGUUCUCCCUCUCGGACGAUUGCCGGACCGGAGCGGCAGAAGCGAUUCAGGAACUAACAGCCAUGGGCAUCAAAUCCGUAAUGCUCACGGGAGACAGCGCGGAAGCCGCGGCGCACGCGCAGGAGCAGCUCGGGGGCGCGCUCGAGGAGCUCCACUGGGAUCUCUUCCCGGAGGACAAGGUGCGGCUCGUCGCCGCCCUGAAGGCGAGGGCGGGGCCGACGAUGAUGGUCGGCGACGGGAUGAACGACGCCCCGGCGCUGGCCAUGGCGGACGUGGGCGUGUCCAUGGGCGUCUCGGGCUCCGCGGCCGCCAUGGAGACCAGCCACGCGACGCUCAUGUCCAGCGACGUGCUCAGGGUGCCCGAGGCCGUCAGGCUCGGGCGGCGCGCGCGCCGGACCAUCGCCGUGAAUCUGGUGGCCUCGGUGGGGAUCAAGGCCGCCGUGUUAGUGCUCGCGGUCGCCUGGACCCCGGCGCUCUGGGCGGCGGUGCUCGCUGAUGUCGGGACGUGCCUGCUCGUCGUGCUCAAUAGCAUGCGGCUGCUGGGGGAGGGGAACAGAGGGGGAGGUGGGAAGAAGAAGAAGGAGGAGGCUUGCCGUGCCACGGCGAGAUCGCUGGAGAUGAGAAGGGCUCAGCUGCUGCUCAACGCCGAUGAUGCGUCCAACGCUGCUAGUACUACGGUUGUUGUUGAGAGACCAGGUGGUGGCGGUGGGAGAGAGAAAUGCCAUUGCUGUCACAGGGAAAACGAGUCUCCUGAGAGUUCGGUUGCCAUCGACAUUAUUCGAGUCGACGAGCGUCCGGAGGAAGUGAGGAAGAUUGCGGCGUGUGCGCCUGCGAAAGGCGGAGCGGACGCCUGAUGUUGCGGCAGCAGCAGCAAGGCUACUGGAUGCGGCACUUUGGUCAGGCCUAUUUCAUCGACCCGCGCAUCAUCGCUACGAUGUUGUUCCGGCCAAAUAGACAGCUAAGAAAUUGUACACCAAAAUGGCGCCCGUUGAUGGUAGGGUGAAAGUGAUAGCCCCCCGAUAGACAUCCUUCUAGUGUUUAAAAUGAUGUAUUUUUCAGACAGACAUUUUUUAGUCAUAAAUUCAUACACACAAAUCAGACAAAACUGCUCCCUUAAGCAAGCGAAUCCACGACACAAUAGGAAAUAAGGUACAAAAGUACAGAGUAAUGCAUUAAGUAAAAUGGUGACAAUAAGUCGAGAAUCGACCCACAAGCAGGUUGUAUCCCUUUUUACCCUUUGUGAGGUGACUCAAAAUACUUGCAACAUGCACAUGUGUUUUGACCUUUUAUGUCACCAGGCUGAUUACACAAGUCAAAUCGCUCCAACUAACAUCGUUCUAUCCUUUGAGAUUGGUCAAACAUUUGAAUCAUGCUUUUUUAUUUUUCUGAGAGAAAAAACGGUCGACUCCGUCAUUCGAUUAGAUAGGAAGAAAUAACUGUACAAAGGGCCCUAAGAAAGGGACCUUGGGAAGAGGAGGUGAGACAAAAUAAACGAAAAAGCAUGCAAUAAAGCCUAAUCUUCCGGGUCCGAAGAGCACGCCCGGGAUCUGCCUUGGAUCUCCUCCCAAAUCAAAUGAGCCACGUCAAGAGUAGGGAGAGCUCUCCCUCCAAAGAUCCUCCUAUUCCGCUCCUUCCAAAUACCCCACCAAACAUAGAUGAAGUGUCCACUCUUAUUGCGUUUUUUUUUUCUUCUGAAGGCCAAAGAUGAGGGAAUCCCAGUGAUCAUUGAUGGAUCUGGACUGGACGUGGUGUCGAUGAUCGGCGUGGCUUGGCUCCAUCUCUGUAUGACGCUAAGAACAUCGGAGGUGAAGUUGCAAUCCCUACAGAUGUGGAGGACAGUCUUCAGGUGGAUCCUACAGAGCUAACGGAUCGGAUUGUGAGUCCAACCCCAGAUCGCCAAGUUGUGCGCAGUGAGGAUUUUCCCGUGGACCAAAGUCCAAGCAAAGAAGUUGCACUUGGGCUCCCUCUGCGCCUUCGUAAUCUUGCCAACGGAGAAAGCAGGGAAAGAGCAUUGGAAUUGGGCCCUGUAGGAGGCCGCCGCCGUAUAGACCCGCAGUUGUCCAUCUCCACGUGAUGCGGUCGUUCUGGGAAGUGAGAUGGAUCGUGUGAAUGCAAUCCCAAAGUUGCUAUUUUAUUUUCACUAAAUCGGUUUGGGUGAAAACUAGGAAUUGUUGCAUUGUUUUUCUCUGUGAACUGCUUUUGGUUAUUUGAAUUGCAAACUCUCAUAAACACGUUUUAGAUCUUUUAAGCACAUUUGUGAUUGGAUUGACGCUCCAGUUGGUAAGUCUUACUGACAUUCUUUGGUUGCAUGUCUGUUGAGCUAUAAAUUGGGCUAAAAUACUGUCCAUAAAGACUGCCCCGAUACCCUGUACUUGUCGUUAUCACCUACUUCCCAAUAUUUUGGAGGCAAAUGCUACAUAUUGGACAAGAAGCACAAGCAUGCUAACUUCUAACCUAAAUGCGUACCGGGGGUUUAAUUCUUGAUUAUCAGUCAAAUGCAUUUUUGACAACUCAAAGGUUGUUGAAAUUUAUAAGGACACGCAAUUUGACGAGUCUAAUGGUUCUUAAGAAGAGCAAUUGCCAUUAAGUGUAGAUAUUCAUACAAUCCCCGAAAACAUACAAAAUAUGACAAUUGGUGAGAUUAGUUGGGUGGAAGUUAAGAAAAGCACAUCUUUGUAAAGGGGUGCUUAAUAUUAAAGAUUGACAAAACAAUUUUCAACAAAUAACCCUAGAGUGAUUUGGACUACAUGGAGGAUGGUGUAACGAAAUUCUUGGUGUUUUCAACUUUCUGGCACAUAACAGCGACAAUUACUCAUAAUCUUAUAUUUUAAAUAAAUUCUAUACUAUUCUGCAUAUUAUUUGGUUUGCUUCUCUAUCUUUCCCAAGACAUAGUAGCAGAGAGUAGAGAGAAGAGCACAUGUCUGCUUCAUUUCAUUUCUAAUAAGUCGAAAUGAAACUUUAAGCUGCACAAGUGACCAAAAAUGCUUGAGUAGGCACGUGCCCUCCUCAACCGCAACUUAGGCAAUUUUCUUAGUUUUUGGGUUUGGUCGUUUUUCAUGUUGUAUGCAGACUUGCAGAGGCUGGGUAAUUAAUUUUCAUUUUUCCAAGUUUUUUUGCGCAGUUUUUGAAUUUUCUUUUCCUGUACGGUUUUCAUACUCCAGGGUGUGAAUUGGACCCUUUCCGGUUCAUCGUGCUGUUUCAAAGUAAUAAUCCUAUCGUUUCUUUGCCUUCGAUGGAAUGAAAUUGUAAUCGCUUGAACAGCUCUUUUUUUUACAGCAAUUCCUUGAACAGAACCUCAUAGGAGCCAAAUCUCUUGUCCUCAAAAAAAAAAAAGCGCAUGUUUCGCAAAAACUGUCAAGUGGGUCGCUCCGUAGUUUCAGCCCAGCUUGUAAAGUGUGAAAACAGUACUACAGAGAAUGGCGCCGCGCCCGUCAAAAAAAAAAGAAUAGCGCCGCGCUGAAUUUUGCUGCAGGUUCUUCAGUCAAACCGGCUCUAACCCUGACUUUCUUGCUGCUUCGUUCAUCAUUUACAUAGUGUCGACACCCCGUCUCUGAGAUAAGCAAUUAAGCACGCACACUUUCUGCACCCUCUCACUCUCACUCUCACUCUCAAACAAACCUACACGGUUGCCAUUCCAUUCCAAACCCAGUUUGAGGCCAAGCGUGCACGAAAAUUACAUCGUUCCAACCGGCUAGUAAACAAGCACUACUGUAUAUAUAUCCUUGACCCAAAAGUCACGGAGCAAACUACUGUAAAUCAAUAGUAAAGCGCGUAAUUAGGCCCAUUUGGCAGCGCAAAAAAAAAACCCAAAAAACAAUCAGGCCCAUUUGGCGAGCAUGGACAUGAGCCCGGCGCCGAGGAGCAUGGAGAGGUUGAUGCCGAGCUGGAGCUUCCCCCUGCUCUGCACCUUGGGGUUCAUGAAGUCCUCGGCGAGGAGGUCGACGAGCGCCAUGUAGACGAGGAUCCCCGCCGCCACGGAGUUGAGGCCGCCUUCCACCACCAGCGCCGUCGGGCUGUUCUCGUUGUACACCCGCGAUAUGCCGACGCCCACCGCGAUGCCCACCGGCGUCGUCAGGCAGAAGAAGAGGAUCAUCGUCACGAUGGACCUUGCCUUGAACUUGGCCUGCACCCAUCAUCAUCGUCAGUAAUAAGCCCAGAGGCACAUUUCAGUAAAGAAGUUUCUUUUCUGAGCAUCCAUGUGGUUUUGCUAUUUUAGACAUGUCCUUACUUGUAUCAAUGUGCAGUGAUCGCCUGCCUUCGUUUCACUUAGAGAAAAAUGGACAUGUGCUCUGCCUCAACGAUUUAGGCAUGUAACUACCUUACCAUUUAGGCAUCCUACUAACCUAUUGGAGUUAUGUAGUUCCGAAAUUGCUUCUGCUAUUUUGUGGCAGGCCACCCAAAGUUCCCCUGCCUCAACGAUUUAUGCAUGUGACUACCUUACAAUUUAGGCAUCCUAAGCUGUUGGAAUUAUGCAGUUCCGAAUCUGCUUGUGCUAUUUUAUGUCAGGGCACCCAAAGUUCCCUGCUUCAACGAUUUAGGACAUGUACUUAAUUAACUAACUUCAGUUUAGGGACCCUAUUGGAGUUAUGCUGUUCCAAAAAAACUGAUAGUGCUUUUGUUCUUUCUUCUCCAGGCCACCCGAAGUGCCCCUGCUUGUACUUUACAUGAAUUAAUUCUGUCGACAUCCAUCUCUGAUUCUCCAGCCUUUUGCAAGCAUGAUGUAAGAGCAUCAUAGUACUCUCUUUUCCCUGGCCUUUUCACUUUUGAUGGAGACCAUACAUGUAAAGUUCUAUGCAUAAAGACUACAUCCUCCCUCUGUUUGAUUAUAUUUAUUCUUUGGGAAUAGGCAAGCAAGACAGUCAUGCAACUUUGAAUCUACAUAUAUGCACAUCAUCGUUCAAACAUGGUUUAGACCAUCAAUAUGUAAAGUGGUAUUGUAAUAAAUCGUACGCGCUUACUGAAAUGUUCAGGAUUUUCUCAAUAUAUACCUGAACGAUGCAGCCACCAAGGCCCAUGCCCUCGAACAUCUGGUGGAAGCUCAGCGCGACCACGAGCGGCUUGAUGGUGUCCGGUUCCUGAGACGCGCCGAGAGAGAUGCCGAUGAUCACGGAGUGCACCACGAUACCCAGCUCAAGGACCUACAACAUUAAUUGUCGUUGAAGCAAAAGAUUAAAACCACACAAGAAUGUAUAGGUUCGUCAAAGUACCUACAACAUUAAUCUGUGGUAAAUUAGCCACCGGCCGGUUAAAUAGUUGUCACGUUUAAAAAGUUGAGACCAGUACCGAGUUCAGAAAAAAAAUUAAAAAAAAAUUGAGACAAGUAACUACCAACAAACCUGAGAGAUUACGCGAUACCGGAUGGUGUCCAUCUUGUCGUCCUCGGCGCCGCCCACGGCCGCGACGAGCGCCGCGGACCCGUGCGCGUGGCCGUGCGUCGCGUGCGUGUGCACGUGCACGUCUUCUUCCCCGGCGGCGGCGGCGGCCUGCUUCUCCUCGUCGACAACGGCGCCGCCGCCCUUCUUGGAGUGCGCGCGCGUGAAGUAGCCGGUGGCGAGGGUGUCAACGACGAGCGUGCCGAUGGCGCCGACCAUGGCGCCGAGCCCGGCGAAGGGGAAGUCCUUCCAGGGCCCGUCGGACGGCAGGCAUGGCGAGCCGAGGUUCUCGAAGGCGUCCGGGAGGAUGUGGAUGAAGCCCGUGGCGAGGAUGACCCCCGCCGCGAACGCCUUGACCAGGAAGAACACGUCGCCGUCGGGCCGCAGGCCCGGCACGCGCCGGGCCAGGACGGGGAGCGAGCAGCCCAGCGCGCCGGACACCAGGAUGGAGAAGAAGGCCGCGAUCUUCAGCGGCCGCACCCGCGCGCGGUCCGCCGCCGCCGACUCCGCCGACCCGCACUCGUCCUCCUCCCCCUCGCCGCGCACCGCCGAGACCAGCAGCAGCGCCGCGAUGGCGGCGCCGAGAAGAAUCGCCGCGCUCGGCUUCAUUGCUGCUUGCUAGGCUGCUGCGUGCGAUUUUGAACCGUGGAAGAAGAAGCUCUGCUAGCUAGCUGCACUGGACAGAUGGAUGGAAGAAGACGAAGCUCUGCUCUGCAGCCAGGCUAGGGCUUCGAUCUCGGUCCUAUAUAUAAACCUCGGCAAUUUUGUAAUUCGUCAACGGCGAGCCGAUGACGACAUGGAUGAGUAUAUACCGCGCCAUGUAUUACAGGACAGGCGAUUUGCCGUUGGAUUUUCCAACGGUGACGACAUGCUCGAGUACGAUUUUCUUGAUUUACUGCCGGAGUUUGGGGGGAUUUCUUUAUUUCUUUAUUUAUUGCCGGAGUUUGGGGGGGAAGUUACCCAGGAUGACGACACACUAUGGUCAGACGAGGCGGUAAUUUUGCUCGCAUUUAAGCGUUCCUAAAUUAAGCGACAGAUGUAGAGGCGCUCCGAAAAUAUGGUCGUAUUUUCGAGACCUUCCUUUUCUGAAACUCAAUAUAUAGAAGCAUACUUUCAAAACUGAUCGAACGGAACACGCUUUCGGUUCGACCGUUCAACCACUGUUUCAUCCGUCUGGUUGCAAGUGUAUACUACUCCCUCCGUAGGGUAUACAAGAACACGUUAUGCUAUUUCUGUUCUUUUAGAGAACUAUAUCUAUUUCUGGUGAUAUUCCAUCCUUUUUGGAAAUUAGUUCAUACUAGAAAUAGGACCUUCUUCAACAAUGUUGCAAUGCGAAAAAUGGCGAGUAUACCGAAAACCACUAAGUAUAGCCCGUGAUGGUUAACUUAGCUAUUUCUUAUGAGAUCAUCAAGUCUAAGGUACGUAAUGUUGUGCAAAUAUGAUUGAACACAACUACUACUUGCAAACAAUUUCAAAAAUAAGAUUUGUCGCCCAUAUAGCUAGAUGUCUGGACGAUAGAAUCUCCAAGUGAAUAAUAUAUAUGUCCUUGAUCUUCAAUUAAUUGAUAACGUAACUAAGUCCUUUCUGUAUUCCACAGGCAAUGGAUUGCUCCAAAACUUUCCUGUGGACCAAAUUACUGAGUAAUAAGGUUCUGUUAGUGUUCUCUGUCAUUUGUAGGGUAGCAUAAGAAUGCUCCAUCCUUGGGGUUGUGCUCUACGGGUGAACGUCCUCCAUUUGGCAUCGCGGAUUGGGUGUCAAACAUGCCUUAGCAUCGCUUCCUUCCUGGAGGCCCUGAUUGCCACCGUUUGGUAAACACCUUGGUGUCUGCAUUGGCGCGAUUGGGUUGGAGCCGGUGAUAGAGGUAGUGGUCGGGGUGGCUGUAGUGAUGGCACCCUAGUAAAUAUCAGCGAUUAACUCGCAAGGAUCACUGUCACCAAUCGAGUCUUUCGUAAGAGUAAAUGUUGUACUCUACUCUACUAUAAUGUAUUAUCUCAGUUCAUAAUGUUUGUUUUCAUCUCAUUGAUUUGCGUCAAAUCAACGAGCUGAUGUAGUCUAUAGGUGUGACGGACCACCAAUCGAGUACUUUUACUAGCACAAUACUCAUAUGUCGGUAGGGACUAAAAAUAUAUGUUUAAAGAAAAUGUUGCUAUUAUCUAGUAGUAUUGUCUUACUCCCCAAUCCAACAAAAAAUGUCUCAGAUUUAUCAAAAUUUAGAUGUAUCUAGACAUGACUUAGUAUAUAGACGCAUUCAAAUUUAGUCAAAGUUAAGACAUCCUUUGUUGGACGCAGGGAGUAUAUUAUAUAAUCUACUUCCUUCGUCACAUAUUAAGUGACUUUCUAUUACAUGUAUCUAGACAUAUUUUAAUAACAGAUACGUUCAUAUUUGGACAAAUUUGAGUCACUUGGUAUUAGAGGGAAUAAUUAUAUUUAUUCUUGUUUUCGUAUGUUAAUUCAACCAGUGAUGAUGAGAAAAACCGUUGUAGUUGGAAGAUAACGGGAUCACCGUGACUAAAUGAGAGUUUUAUAUAAGUCAAAACGAAGAAAUAGCCCUUUAUCCUUGGCCAGGAAGAAGGAGCCGUCGUUUUAACGCCAACCGAUCAGUCGCCGGCUGGCGGCUGUUGUAUGCAUGCAUGUCGAUACGGUGUCGACACUGCGGCGGAAGAGGAAACAGGGACGCGUGUAAACCGAGAGGAGCCGCUUUCGUUCAUCUCUUGGACGGCAGGCGCUCCGUUGCUGGUUCUUGUAUUUCUGAUUAAACCGAGGCGACGUCGAUCGGGGGCCAGCUAAGCCAGUCGUUGUUUUGUUGCCUAGAUAUACGAUGUUGCGUUACUCAAUAUAAAGAAUGUAUUUUUGGGUAUAAAGAAUGUGACCAUAUUAUUGCGUACUCCUUCCGUUUCUAAAUACUUGUCGUGGUAUGAACGGAGGGAAUACUUUAUAAACGAAUUUACUUUGCGUGGGUCCGACACUUUCAUCGUGUGUCCCAUAAAGUCAUCUCUUAUUGCGUUACCUUACAAUCAAUGGUUAGAUGAAUAAAAUUAAUUUAAAGACAAAAGAAAAACAUAUUGAGAGCAUGUACAUGUUUUGUUGUCUUAUCUAAAUGACAUGUAACACAUAAAAUACAGUUUUAUCAACCAUUAUACAUGCCUAACAGGUUCUGCUAAGUGAUGUCUAAUUGCUCGCCGGCCGCAGAAUCUUCAAUGUGGCUAACCAUGGCCGGUCAGUCAGUGUUCGUCCAAGCCUCCAAAGACUUCAGUUCACGUUCUCAAAAGGCUAAAAAAAAAAGGUCUUCGCAGAACAACACGGACAGGGGCGAUCGGGAUCGAUGCAUCCAUGGACGAAAAUGAUAUUAUUCUGGCUCGCGUGUCAUGAGUGCGAUUGCAUAGGCAAGUGGUGUACUGGAUGCAGUAUGAGCCGGUGCAAUUUUACUUGCCAAUUUUUUAUUGACCGGCAGGCAUAAAUAAAUAAAGCUCAUGCACAUUGUGCCUCCCUUUGGGAAAGAUGCUAGCCAGCGGCCGUCCAAGUACAAGUGGAAGCAACGUACCGUCCAAGAUUCGAGCGAGCGUGGACUCUUGUGCAGUUGAUGGCCUAUUGUCCUCUCGUUAAAGACAUCUUCGAUUCUGCACUACUGCCCGGCUUUACAAACCAUCUUUUGAGUUUAGGGGCUUAGGGAAGAUCUUUUGGGUCAGCACAUGCAUGGAUGGCGAAACUUUGCUAGAAAGCUAGCUAGCUUUUCUUUUGUUUGAUGCUACCAAGAGCAUCUCCACUCCACUCGGCCCUCUCAUGUGACGUCCGGCUUGCCAUAUUUUGGCCAUACGGGCAGGUGCCGACGUAAAGGAAAAUUUGGAGACCUGCCGCGUCUCAGUCGGACUCCGAUAAUAAAUUAGAAGCAAAUUUAAACUAGACGACAUUUCAUUAAAUUAUGCGACAUUUCAUCAAAUUAGGCGACAUUUCAUUAAACUUGCGAUAAUUUAAAUAAUUACAAAAAAGACCUAGUCGUCUAGGUGGUUAAUCCAAUCGUCUAGGUGGUUAAUCCAGUCAUCGCCAAGUCGCCGUCGCUGUCGAAGUUGAAGCCAGAGUCGAGGAUGAUGACUCCCGUCUCCUGCUUCACCGGCGCCAGUGCCGGCUUCGCCGCCUCCUUCGCUGCCUCGUCGGCUAGCUAGGCCUCGACCUCAGCCUCGGAGGCGGCGACGCUCCGUCGCCUGCAGCUCCACCUCCUCCCUGCUGGCGCGCUCGGCAGGGCGCGGACCCGGGUACUCCUUCGGUCGGGGUCGCCGCGGUGCUGGAUGGCGGCAGACUCGUACUCCGGAGGAGGCGCCCACUCCUCCGGCUCCGGCUUCGGCCGGACAAGACGGAGCAGGCAGCGGGGCGGCGACGCGGUCGACCGUGCUCGGGCCGAGGAGUAACCGAUGAGCCGGGGUGCUCGCCGCCGAGGAGGACCACGAGGAACCGAAGCCACCGUCCAGGUAGCGGCGGCGUCCGGCCGGUGGAGGACGGAGGGCCGUGCCUCCGUCGAGCCGCGGCUGGUGCGGGUGAGGACGUCGUCGAUGGCGCCCCCCCGCCCCAUUGAUGUUGGUCCGCACUGUCGGGUGCGGUGCAUCAUGGGCGGCGCGCUGGUGCUUGGCGUCGAAGAGACCGGCCCAGGCGGUGCCGGUCUCGCGAUUCCGUUCCACCGACGCCGGCUGCGCCGGCGUCAGGGCAUGGAAAAAAUAGUCCCAGAUGAGCUCUCGUCGGCGUGCCCUGACGUCAUUAUGACUAACCAUGUACUCGACUUGACUAUACCCGAUACGGCCCAGCUGGGGCCCCACAAGGAAGCCUACUUCGACUCCAGGAGUCUACAUGCCGAGUCUUGUGAUUCAAGAUAAGGAAGAUUAAUUAGAGUAUAUCUUCCCAUUGUAACCAACUUGGACUCUACCUGAGACCUGAGUUCCUGCAUAUAUAAAGGACCAGGAGGGGGAGCCAAGAUGACACCCCCAAUUUAGAUACAAAUCGCCUAGACCCACUCGACGACUCGGUGCCUCCAGACUCAGCGGCACCCCAUUGUAAUCGACUCAUCAAUAUAGAUCCGACAAGAUGGACGUAGGGGUAUUAUCUCAUCGAGGGCCCUGAACCUGGGUAAAUCGUGUCCCUUGUGUCCUUGUUAGCUGAUGAGUUCGCCAACACACACUCGAAAUCUUUCCUUGAUACAAGUCCCUCAAUAUGGACAUUGUCGAAGUUACAUCUUCGUCAUUGGCGCCGUAUGUGGGAAAGACGUGUGUUGGAAACACGACCUCGGCGGUUUCAGAUCCAGUAGAACCAUCAUCGGCUCAGGCGGAGUCGACGAUCCUUGAGUCUUCUGCCGCUCACCUCCAGUCCAACUCCGCAGUCUUGGACAAGCUUGAUGCCUGCCUGGACCUCAUAUUCGGCGAGUUCCACGUCCGAUCCGGUAUCCUUCGACUACCGUGUCCGACUCCCUUAACUCCGGAAGAAUUGCCUCUCCUUUCUCCUUCAGAGAAAGACCCGUCGACAGACUCAUCGGAGCCACUCAAGGAAGCAGAGCAAGUCUCCUCUUGGACCUGCUCUGAUUCUAAAGAUGAUCCAUCCUCACGUGCAGAUAGCCCCGUCCCUAGCGACGCUGGCGACCGCUCGGAACAAGGGAGUUGCCAUGACAACCUCGCCUUGCCGGGUUCACCCGACGAAACAGAGCAGGUUUUCCCUAGGAACCUACUCCGAUUCUAAGAGCAAUCCACCCCAGCCUGCAGAAAGCCCCAUCAGAGGCGACGCCGGCAACUGCUCAGAGCAGGAAAGCUGCAGAAGCAGCAGCGAUCUUGCGCCCAAGUGUGCCAUCGCUCAAGUCUUCAUGACAAAUCCCGUCGCCCCAAAGCAGACUCCCCCAGCUGCGAGUGCAUCCGCAAGUCUACCGGCUGGAUAUUCUGCAACAGAGAAAGCUCGAGUCCAGGCAGCUCUUAAGUCGGGAGUCCUCAUGAAGGAUCCCACCACCGCUGAGUUGCAAUUAUAUGCCAACUCUCUUGCCAGGGCCCAACGUGACCUGAACAAAGAGAAGGAGGAUUUCGCCAAGAAGCAAAAGCUUGAAGCGGAGAGGCUGAAGAAACUGGAUGAAGAUAUCUAGGCACGCAAAAGAACUCGCUCGGGUUCACUCAGCGACUUUGAUGGAGCAACUCCUCCUAGAGCUCUCCCCAGACGAAACAUCUCGCGUCGUGAUCACACGACCCGAAACCUGGCUCCAAGCUUCAUGUCGGUUGACGACCAUGGCGAUAUGAUAUCAGAAACCCGAGAGGUUGUCUUGCUUGCAGUCAAUACCUACCUACAAACAAUCCAGCCGCCUGACAGUGACCCGCGCUUGCGGCUUCACAAAUAGAUUCUGGAAGGAUUGAAUAGGACAGGGGCUUCUUGUAUCAGCCAAGAUUUCAACAACCGAAGGCUGCCGCGGGACAAGACUCCAUCCCGCCGUGAAGGAGAAAUCCAGCACGACCUCGACCCGCCUCCACGAGGCCGCAGGGAGCGUGACUCGCACCCAAGGGAAACACUGGGGUCUCCCCGGGACGCAAACCGCGAUCGGCGAGACAGGUAUCGUGACUAGUCGCCGGACUCCGAUCGCGAGGCUGAGACAUGUGGAGUGCCGUGCUUUAGCCGUCGCAUCCGCCAAUCUAGGAUGCCCAGCAAUUUCAAACUGCCGACCGAUCUAGCCAAGUAUGACGGCACACAAGAGCCCAAGACUUGGUUGGAAGAUUACCUCACCGAGAUUUGCUGCCAAGGCGGUUCUUGUACUACCGCCAUGCAAUGCCUGCAGCUGCAACUCAAAGGCCCUGCACGCACGUGGCUAACCGGCUUACCACGAGACGACAUUGACUCAUGGGAGGAGCUCGUCCAAGCAUUCACCCGCAACUUCAGGUCCGCGUACAAACAACCCGUCUUCCUUGAGCAACUUCGAGCCUGCAUUCAAAAAGAAGGAGAAUCUAUCCGUUCGUACAUCCAGCGCUGGACCAACACCAAACAUGCUUCUGAGGAAGUCUCUGAUGAAAGCGCCAUCGACGCCUUCAAACGAGGACUCCGACGAGUCGAACUCAAGGAAGAAUUGGGUCGUGUCUGGCCCAACCAUCAGCUACCUGAUGGAAAUCGCCAUUCGAUAGGCUGACGGUGAAGACUCAGUUCGCAAUGAACGCCACCGAUCUCUAGAAGAAGAGGGCGAUCGCGGUCACGAUCGAAGGAUUAAGCGCAAAAACCGAGCUUUCGAAGAGUCACGCCCACCUGAUUUCAUCGCAGCCGCCUCUCCGUUAGAUUUUGGCUCUCGGGAGAAUGGAAAUCGCGGUGGAGGUUUUCGAGGUGGUGAGAAGCGCAAGCAACAAUGGCAGAGAAAAGGGAACCAACCCACCCUCUCUCAACAGCUAACUUCCCCUUGCCCGUUUCACGUGUACAGGAAUGAGCAAGGCAACAUCAAGCCAAGUCAACCCCUAACCGAGUGCCGGCGUUUGAAGGAAUUACAGGCUGAGUUUGCCAGGACACAACAGUCGGCAACCAGCGCUGGCUUCUCACAAUUACCUGGGAUGCUUCCAUACCCUAACGAAGGAGUCAAUGAACCCUUGCCGCCUCCCAUACCAGGAGCUCUAGCCAUCGGUGCUCCUCCUCCUCCUCCGCGCCCAGCCAGUUUCGCCGGCGCAGUGCACCCAGUCGCACUUGCACCGCCACCAGAAGCGCCGACAACGGUCGCCAGUUCAUAUCCGACUCUGGUCGGUCACAUCUGCAUGAUUCAAAAAGGGAAACCCACAAAUCGGGUCCAAAAGUCCAUAACUCGGCAGGUCCAUAUGGCCGUAAGGUCACCUCCCUCUUCAACGGAGCACCUCGACUGGUCUGAAGUGGAGAUCACGUCCUCCAGAGAAGAUCACCCACCCUGCAUCCCGCAACCGGGAAACGCAGCACUGGUGCUCGACUCACAGAUCGGGGGUUACAUGCUAAACAAAGUGUUCAUCGACGGCGAAAGUGGGCUAAACAUCAUCUAUGCCGACACCCUACGAAAGAUGAACCGCUCAACAACAAAGCUGGCUCCCACAAAGACAACCUUCCAUGGGAUCAUCCUAGGGAAAGCAGCCACUCCACUGGGCAAAGUUAGCCUUGACGUGGUGUUCGGCACACCCGACAACUUCAGACGCAAAAGACUCAACUUCGAAGUGGUCAACUGGACAUCCCAGUACCACAUGGUCUUGAUUCGCGUCGCGCUAGCACGCUUUAUGGUAGUCCCGCAUUACGCUUACCUUAAGCUCAAAAUGCCAGGACCCAACGGCGUGAUAACUAUCUCUGGAAGCUUCCUGCGGUCCGAUCACUGCGACCUUGAAUUCCAUAAAAUUUUCGUGUCACCUUUUGCGCAGGACCAGGCUGGCCAGGCCUACUUCUUAACAGACGAUGACCAAAAUUCCGUCCUUAAGAAAAGAACCAUUGAGGCCACAGGCGGUGUAGACUUGAAGACAGAGGAAGCACAUGCCUCUUCAUCAAAGGAGGCCAACGCUGGCUCAGCCAGGAGCCCUAUGAACUAAGGGGUACUGGCUCGCUGGGCUCCCCCAAUCGCACCAACGGGAGCCCCCCCACCCCCUAGCAGGCGCACUAAAACAACGAGCACACCAAGCCGGCUUCGCAGCCCAUGCAGUGUAACUCAGAAGACGCCUGCCGAAGAGUGAGUCAGUUCAAUCACAUACCUGCAAGCUCAUCCACGCCUCGACAUGGUUGUUCAGCCAACUUGACUGCGGGAUAUGAGAAUCAAAAACCUCCCCCUCAGACUCCAAUCCAGAGCCGGGGACUCAAGAAGUAAGGCGAAAAACGCCACGCAGUUGCGUCGCCAAUGCGCCAGGCUUUUUUGCUUGAUUUAUUUUUAGUUUCUCAUCUAUUUUUCCUCUUUUCUCUGAAUUUUUAAGUACCUUCUUGUACCAUCGGUAGGUAAUAAAAAAUAUUUAUGUCCCUCUACUCAAAGUCUUCUCCUUUUACUUGCCUUGUGUAACAUCCCAUAAUUUUCCAAUUCUGGAAUGUUAAAUAAAAUAAUUAUUUUAAUGAAAAUAUUGCUUUGGAAAUAUUUUGGUUGUGAAUUUCUGAAGGAUUUGAAAUUUUUAGGACUUAUUUAAAUUUUUCCACACCAUGUUUGAAUAUUCAAUAAAAGAGUGGAUUAAUAUGACUAUCCAAAUUAUACAACAUGGUUGGGACAUUUAUAUAAGUUCAAAGUAUUUCAAUUGGAACCAUUUGCAUAUUAUGAUUUUAUCCGAACUAUUAUUCGCAUUUAAUAAAUCCUAUGUUCUUUUUAAAGGUUUUACUAGCACACUAAGUUUCCAAUUUGGAUGCCAUGACCAUUUGAGAGCAUCGUUGGAAUACUUAAAUCGAUUAGAAAUGUUCUCCAACAUUUAUUUAAAUGUUAAAGAAAGGGAAUAAUAUGAUUUUCCCAAAUAUAUGGUUGGAAAACAUAUAUAAUGAUUCACCUAUGUUUCUCUCAAUAUUUGCUUUGUCGUGUUCAUUUUGUUUUCGAGAGGAAACUAUCAAAUAUUCGAGAAGAGGAUAACGUGACAUCCUCAUGUGCAAAUGUUAUUCGAACAUUUAUUCCAUUAUUGAGAGUGGGAUAACGUGACUUCCCAAACAUAUAUAGUUGGAAACAUCUGCGGUGUUUACAUGGUUUGUGAUUUGGUGUGAUAAAGCCAUUUGAGAAUUUUAUUGAACCAUAUAAUUAUUAUAACAUGUUAUUUGGAGUUCAACCCAAUGGGGUAUUUAACUAAGAAAGGAUUUUAGUGCAAAGUAUGCCAACCCAAUAUUUUGUUGGAGUUUAAACUAAUUUAUGAAAAAAAGGUUUCAUAAUAUAAUUGAAAACCUAUUUAAUGUAUUACUUAUAAAGCCCUAAUGACGUUUAUAUAAGCAAAAGUAUUUUUACUUAUUUUAUUUUGAAAGGAUUCAAGUCCCAAAAGUUCACACUUUGGAGGAUUUGAAUUUACGAAUUUACUACAGUUUAUUUGGACUUAUUUGGAGUUAGGAAUCAAAAGUUAUUAAUAAAAACAGAAAUGGAAAAAAAAAGGAAAAAAAAAGAGAGAAUGGACCGACCCAACUGGGCCGGCCCAUCUCCACCGAGCGCCCCAGCGAUGAGCACUUCCUACUGUGCAUGUAAGGAAACCAUUCUUUCCGUAUUUUCUUUCUUCGAUUUCUUUCCUUCCCGCGCGUCUCUCUCCGAAAGAAAACCAUCCCAUCAAUUCUCACCAUCCCGGGAACCCAUUCAGGAAAUCAAUUUGAAGUUUUCUCUCAUAAUCGUAGUUUUCAAAAGAAACGCCCCGAAUGUCGGCCGUCGACAUCCACGCCCGAUCUCCCUCCUCGGCCACUAUAAAAGGAUUUCACGCACGUCACUUUGAGCCUUUGCUUCUUCUCCCCCAAUCCCAUGUAGAAAGUUUGGCCCCGAAAUCUCUGUACAACGGGCUACAUCGACGUCUUCCUCCGGCGGUCACCGCCACCAUUGUUGCCGGUGAGAUCACCCCGAACCUCCGUUUUUCGAUUCCUUUCACCGGUAGAGUCAUGUGACCCUUACCUACCUUUGUGACAAGGUUUCGUGACCUCUUGAUGCCGUUGGCCGCGCCGUCCCCGACCCCAUGCCAAAGCCGCGCCCGGAGCUCCGCCCAUCGCCAUCCGGAGAUGCUACGACCGUGCAAGCCGCGUCACGGUGUAUGCCUCGACGUCUUCCACGGCCCCAUCGAACCCUACGUCGACAUCAUCGCCGUCCUCCUUCAACUCUGGCGAACUCCGUGUCUUUUCCGGUGAGCAACUUUUCAGCCGCAGCAGUUUUGAUUAGCCAUGUUUAGAAGCCCAUAUCUUUUGAUCUGUGUAUCAUUUUUGGCCCAAUCUUUCUGUUAUAGUUAGAGAACGUCCACCUCUCUAGACCAGACCAGAUUGUAUACCCCGUCUCCAUGAUCUUCAGUACGGCAUCUUCGUUGGAAAUUGCCAUUCACAAUAUGCUGUUUCUGCAUUAGCCACCUUUCGAAAUUCAUAUAAAUUGUUCCAUUGAUCCGUUUGGUUCCAAACAUUCUGUAGUUCAUCAACUAGAUCAUGUUCUACACAUUAGUGUACACCUUGCACAACUUAGGAUGCAUCUACAGAGGUGCAUCUUCAAUCAAAAGUCGUAUCUGUUAACACUGUCACAUCAGUUAGCUGUUUUCCGAAGCCUAUAUCUUUUGAGCCAUUACUUCAAAUUGUAUGAUUCUUUCUGUCAUGUCAAGACCAAAUCCAAAUAUAAAUCCUAGACCUAUUUUAACACCUUUAAAAUUUCAUCCACGCUAGUGCAUCGUCAUUGCAAAACAGUACCUUCAGCAGUUUUCCACACUUGGCCAAUUCGAAGCCUUCAGUUACAGAAACUUUGUUAUAGAUUAGCCUGUUUUGUAAGCCUGUAUAUUUUGACUCACACCUCCUAUUUAGGUUAGAACAGUGUCUGUUGAAAUUUUGUUAGAUAUAGUUUAAUUCAUCCCAUUGGCCCACUGUCUUUUGAUGCCAUUAGUACCAUUACAUUUUCAGUAGAAGUUAGUAUCUUUAAUCUGUCAGAAUCAGACUAGCCAGCUUUGCAAGCCAGUAGCUAAUUCUCCGUAGAUCCUUUUGGGAUGAGACUUGUUGUGUUAGCAAUUAAAAUCUUAAUACUAUGCAGUAGUAUACUUUUUAUCCCAUGUUCUGCCAUUUAGCGCCAUUUGCCAAACAGCCAAAGUAUCUAAGUUAUAAAAAUUCCUAUAGACUUAAAUUCCAGACUUAGCCACACUAGUCCAUGCCCAACCAAACUUUAAAUCUAUUAACACUGUCUUAUUGAUUAGCAUUGUUCCAAAACCCAUACAUGUUGAUCCAUAUUUUCAAACCAGUUCAUUCUUUCUGUUGUGACAAGAGUACACCCAACUCUUGAUUCUGGACCACUUUGAGCACCUUUUUAAGUUCACCUACCAUAGCCCAUGACCCCUAGAAAACUGUAUCUGUUAACAGCCAAUGACUUCACCGUUCCAACUCCGCUUUUAUCCCAACCUUGUUCCUACCUCUUAGAUCUAUGCCUAGGACAGCCUAACAGUAGUUAGGUACUAUUUAAUUUAAACUUCGUAUAUUGCUUUGGUUCCUUAUUUGGAGUUAUGAUUUGGAGUUCUCGAAUAGUUAUUUAUUAUUGAUUUUCGUUCUUCGCGAUAGAUUAUACGGAGUGCGGUAACUGUGAGUAUCGAAAAGAAGAAGAAUACAAAGACAAUAAUCAGGCAAGUUCACUUUGAUCAUUUACCCAUUAUUCUAUUAUGCACUAGAUUUUAUCAGUUGCAUUGUUAGGAUUAUUAUUGUAUCUAUGCUAGCUAUGAUCUGUCCUAAUAGUAUAGAAAACUUUGUCAUGACCUUCACCACCAAUUGCCAUCGUAGUAGUAAAAUGCUAUGCUAUGAUAAUAUACGAGGGUGGUAUUAUUACAAUGUGAUACUAUUGAAUUACAAAUAUAGUUUUCCUAGUGUAUAGCAAAACAAGUAAUUCAAUGAACCGUCCUGAGUGGGCUGCUUUGAGUAUUCGGAUGUCGUGACGUUAGGUCCAUUUCUAUGGGUCCCUCUGAGUCGAGUCUCCGUGGAUUCGGAGAUGGAUCGUCCAUGGACGUCUCUCCUGUGGAUUCGGGGAGCGCCUUCGUCACAAUGUGGGAUGCCACCCGGGAUAACCAGAGACUGGACUAGUUUCAUGUUUAGUAGCUUCCAGUACAACCACAUGGUAAUAUGGGCUCUGCCUGGAUGGAGUAAGAAAUGUUUACCCAGAUCCGAGGGAUUGUAUUGAGGUAUUUGUGUAGGUGGGAGCGCAGGUCCCUCAGGUGGUUUGGGUGAACAUGUUCUGAAAAUUCUUGAAGUCGAUGCCGUUGCUACUCCACCCGGAGGACAGCAAGGGAUUAACACGUCGAAUUCUUGUGGGGAAUGUGUACAACCUCUCGAGAGUGUCAAACUAAGUACUUAGCCGUGUCCCCGGUUAUGAACAAUUAUGAGCGACUAGAUAUUGGGGCUGUAAGGAAGGUCUCACUCAUUCCAAUUUCCUAAUAAAAUGAAUGGUUUCAACUGGGUAGGAGCAUUGAUGUUUCUACUCAAUGUGCAUAGGUUAAUAGGAGCAUGGGUGUUUCUACCCCGUGUCCAAUAAAAUUCAAAACUAUUUUGGGUAAAAAAAUGAUAGGAUUAAACAUUGACGCUUUUAUGUAAAUAGCCAAACCCCCACCUUGCCAAAUAUUGCAUGUACUUGAUAGGUUCUGUUAUAACCCUUUGGUGAACUUGCCAAUACAUUCAAUGUAUUGACCCCCUAGUGGCUGCAACGUUUAAAUGUUGCAGGUGAACCAGGUGAAGUGUGAGGUACGAAUUGAUAGGGUUGCGAGUUUGCAUUCCGUGAGGUACGAAUUGAUAGGGUUGCGAGUUUGCAUUCUAACAUGUUUCGACUGUGGAGUUGUUAUGGGACUCCUGUAUCUUCUGCCUUCCGCUGCAAGAUUUUAUUUUCUUUUGGAGAUAACUCAUGGAGUUAUGCAAUAUGUAAGGUACUAUUAAAUUAUGGAUCAAUGCGAUGUAAUAUACUUUUGACCUUUGUAUCUUGAUAUUACAUCUUGAAACUAUGUGUGCUAGCGAGUCGAUCCAGGGACUAGCACUGUAAGCACAGAGAUCGAACCCUAGUAAGGGGGAGGAUCGCUUCACCUUGUUGCGGUCGCAUCACACUCAGAACUGAGAGAUCGAUCCCAAAACUUGUCAUUGGACGCACCCGACACUCGGGGGCUGCGUCCAAUCGACCACAAACUUGUCAUUGGACGCACCCGACACUCGGGGCUGCGUCCAAUCGACCACAAACUUGUCAUUGGGCGCACCCGACACUCGGGGGCGACGUCCAAUCGACCACAAACUUGUCAUUGGACGCUCCCGACACUCGGUGGCUGCGUCCAAUCGAUCGCAAACUUGUCAUUGGACGCACAUGACACUCGGAGGCUGCGUCCAAUCGACCACAAACUUGUCAUUGGACGCACAUGACACUCGGGGGUUGCGUCCAAUCGACCACAAACUUGUCAUUGGACGCACCCGACACUCGGGGGCUGCGACCAAUCGACCACAAGCUUGUCAUUGGACGCACCCGACACUCGGGGGCUGCGACCAAUCGACCACAAGCUUGUCAUUGGACGCACCCGACACUCGGGGGCUGCGACCAAUCGACCGUAAGCUUGUCAUUGGAUGCACCCGACACUCGGGGGAUGCGUCCAAUUGACCCAAAAAAAUUCAUUGGCCGCACUUGACGCUCGGGGGCUGCGUCCAAUUGACCCUAAAACCUCUCGUUGUACGCACCCGACAUUCAUGGGUUAUCGCGUAACAAACAUCAGCAAAAUCAUUCAACGGUCGGCAGUCUCCAAUUACGCAAAAUUGGGAUCCUGAUGUUUUCUCAUACAAGAUCAAAGAAAUUACAGAACAAGAAGGUGUGACCUCUUCAAAGAUGCUAACAACUUUCAAUUACAAAAGAUUUCAAAGUAUUUGGGUCUCCACAUGACUGCAAACCAGUCAUGCACAGACCUAGGGGCUACUCCCACCGGGAGCGCUGGUCGCGCACCCGGUAAAAAUACUACUCAGGCAACUACGUCUACAUCCAUAACGAAUAUCAAAGUCUACUCUACUCCAAGGCCAUAAGAGUCACCAACUGACAUGCCGUGUUCUCCAUCAUGUCGUAAACCGGUCCAAGCUGAGCAUCGUCUGGAACAUAGGAGGGAGUCAAAUGUAGGGUGUCCAGAUUCAAUGAGGGGUAGCGAAGACGAACAAAUGAGAGGGCUAGAACAGCCCCCUCCACCAAUUGUUCAUGAGUACCCCCUCACCACUGCUCCUUCGCAAAAUCUCUCGAUCAUUCCUUCAGGUUAACAGGAACAGGAAGCUCCGAAAACAAGUUAUGGUGCACCUCAGUCAAACAGUGGUUGCAGGACUUCAAGCAGACCACAGCUCUUGCAACUCGAUCCUGCAGCAGUGCAAGGGUAUAACCCUUGUCACGUUCGACCAGAAGGAUGGGGUCUCUGAACUAGAUCAUGCUAAAGCAUCAAGACGACUUUUUACGCGUUCAGCUUCAACAUAUGGUUCUGGCAUCAUAUCUGCAAAAUAUGGCGCGUCCAAAUCAGCCAAAAUUCAGUUAACUCAACAAUUUCAAGCAGAGGACUCAGCCGUUACCUCGCAAAUCUGAACUCAGCUUCACGAUUUCCCCAAGAAGGAAAUCUUCUCGACCUGACGCGGCCCGAUUCUCUGACUUAAGCAAGGAGAUCUCCUCCCGUGCUUGCGCAAGUUGGUAUUCAACAUGUCCCAAACGGAUAUGCAUAACCUCGAGUGCGUCGGAAGAAUUCAUCUCUUCCCGCGAGACAUAAGUGCUAAUCAGCAGGACAAAUCCCUUGCGCUGGUUAGUACGUUCGAGUCCGCACUCGGUUAUUUAUAUCCGACCGCGAGGCACUCCCAUCGGGAGUACUUGAAAUCCGACUUAAAUUUGACUUCCACAAGUCGGAAUUCGACUCGGUGCUGAUUGGCAAGUCAUAGCGUUCCAUUUCCAAAAAAGAAGGGGAGCAACAUCGCCAAGAAAUUCAAGGAUAUCAAAUUACAACUUUGAGUCCGGUCGCCACUACACACAGUCGCAACUGAACUCGGGGGCUACUCCCACCGGGAGCGCUGACCGCGCACCCGGUAGAAUAUUCUUUACAAAAAAUAAGAACUACGUGACUAUCUACUACGAGGUAUGGUCUCCUCCUCGGCUGCUUCCCAUUGCCGGAUCAUCUGCAGCGCCGCCGCCUGCCCAGCCUCUAUGAACGACCUUAUACCCUGGGUGAGAGUAGCCGGUAGUGUAGCAACUCGCCAGAAAUCCAACUAUGGGCAGCUGACUCGCACAAAUGCAAGGGCAAUCUAGACACCAUUCGGCCUUCACCAGCUGGAGUCGAAUCAAUUCCUUCAUCUUCUCCUCGUCGUGAAACUUCACCAUCAGGCUGCCCAGUUUACGAGGCACCUUUUCCCGUGGCCAUAAGGCCCGAUGAGUCGAAGCUAGCAUGUCACGGCAGGAGGUGAAGUACCUUUUGACUUGCUUGAUCCACUCGAUCAACAGCAUCAAGUCAUAGCUCCUCGACUGAUCCAACCAAAAGGGUGAUGGGUCAUGUCAUCGGCGAGCUUGAAUGGCAGCAUUCACUCCGGCCUUUUCAUCAUCAGGGUCGAAGCGAACAGCUGCACAGAAGACGGCAAGAUUACUUUGCAAACUGACACGAAAGGCAAAGUCUUGCGAUCCUACACCUUGGAUUUGACCGCUCAGGUUACGAAGCUCUCCAAAGACAAACUCUUCCCCGUUGGUCGCAGCUUUCAGGCUAGACUUGCUGCUUUGAGCCUCACCCAGCGUGUCACGCUUCAGCUUAGCGAGCCGAGCCUCAACUUCUCGUAACUGCUCUGGGGACAGAGUAGUCCCAGCCUGACCCUUUUUGCUAGGAUUGGCUGGAGCAUCGUUGCGAGAGGCUGCCUCUGCAGCUGGAACCGAGUGACUUGACUGUCCUUUUUCACUCUGCGCGGAAAAGACUCAAGUUACUUCAGCAUUUAUCCUAAAGAACUCUUUCUGGGGUGCAAAUAAAGAUCUUGGAUUUCUUUCCAAAAAAAGGCUCAGCUAGAGCAGUUCUUUACAAAGCUAAAAGAACAGAAGAAGAAGAUUCACAAAGGAGAAAGAGAAUCAAAUAUAUCUAGUGAAAGAUCACCCACCUCUGGGCCGCCGGAUCAAGCAAGGUUCAUCUCCUCGAUUGAUCUACGAGGUUGCCGCAACGAGAUCUCAGCCAGCUCUUUGCCCUUUCCCAUAAGAGGCCUUAGGCUGACCGUGCCGCCUGCUCUCGAUCGAGUUGAUUGAGAGGCUACCCGACGGAGAGUGUCUUCCUUAACGCCAUGCGCAAGAGCAAGCGUGAAGAAUAAUUCAGCGUCGGUCGUCGACCGAUGCUGGCGGUACUCCUCUACCGGGUCUUGACUUGAAGCAAAGAAGCCAACGAGGCCAUUCAGCGACUCCGGCACGGACCCAUCAGGAGACAUCUUCCUGAUUACGGUAGUCAAAAUGUUCGUCACUUGCCGAAGCUUGCCCUAGGCUUCAGCAUUGAUGACUUCGACGUUUUCUAGAACCUCAUUGAAGCUCCGUCUUCUCUCAUUAAAUUGAACCUUAGCAGAGGCAUCAAGGACUCCUGCAAAAGGAUAGAGCAACGGUCAAAUUUUACACGAGAAGGUAAAGCCACUUGGGUAACAGAUUCAAACGCUCACCAGCAACAGAGCGAGUAACACUUUCGAGUCGCUCGAUCCAAAUCUUUUCCCGCUCUUUCUCCGUGGAAGUACGAGAGUCUAUACGUUGCUGGAGACGACUCUUUUCGACAGCUGCUUCCUACAGCUCUUGGCGACACUGAUCCAGCUCUGCUCGAAGUCACUCCCAAUCUGCCUUCAUCUCCUUAGACUCUUCAAUAAGAGUUGUAAUGGAGUGGAUGAUCGGCUAAAAACAAAUAGCAGUUUCAAAUUAUUUCUUGAGCAUCACUCCCACCGGGAGGCAAAAUAAUAGCAAAAGACAAAUUUGCUCACGUGCUGACUCGACGCGGGAGUCAUCGCCUGAGGAAUGCUCGACUCAUCUGGUCGACUCCUUUUGCUCGUUCCAGAAGGAUUGGCCGCUGAGGCUCCUUCUGUGUGAGCUGCCUUUUCCUUAGUCGGCUGGUUCGACCCUUUCGAGUCAUGACCAGUCGAUUGAGUCUCGGGGGCUUUUUUGCCGUCGACUGAGCCACCAGUAUGGCCAGGCAAGAAAUUUUUAGAGGUUUUGAUAAAAUCUCUAGAAUGCUGAAAUAAGAUUGCCAAAAUAUUCACUUGGCACGGUUGAAUUGAGCAAAAAGGCCAAAGCGACGGGCUGCGACUGGCCCGUCAGACUUGGUCCUCUUGAACGCGGGUACAGAUACCGAUGACUCGACAUUCGGGUCCCUCGAGCCUUUUGGAUGGGUCUGUACCGGCGGAUCAUCAUCCUCUCUGCCGCGCUUCUUUGCCGGUGGAGAAGCGCUGCUCGGCUCAUUACUGGGUCCCUGAAAUCAAAGCCACAAUCAGAAAUAAUUCAUGUCAAAGACGGCAGGGUUUAUCGGAUGUUUCGAUGAUCACCUUUUCCCAAGGCCUGUCGGGUCCAUAGGGAGCCACUGGAGGGUCAAUCUUGCAUAGCUCUCCGACUCGCCCAAGUCAGUAAGCCGUCGAACUCGUCGACACACUUCAGUCGAACGAAAUUCCACGGUACUAAUCCGGGUUGGGUCACGAAUUCCCUGAUAUGCCCACAUGGGACGAGCACGAGCCUGCAGAGGCUGAAUUCUUCUCCGGAUAAAAGCGGCGAUGAGGUGAAUUCCAGUCACCUUCAGCUGAGGAGUCUCCAUGAGAGACAGGACUUGGGCCAACAGAGUCUCGGUCGCUUCGCCUUCUGUUCCUCCCAACUUAUGACUCCAGGCCGUCGUAUUCUUCACCUAAGCUGUGGCGAAGAAUUCGGGAAGACUGAAGCCGCGUCCUUCGGCAGGCACAUCCAUGACAUAAAACCACCUCGAUUUCCAUCGAGAAGAUGAUUCCCUCUCUCGGAGGUUGAAGAAUUUGGCAUCCGCCUGAGUUAUAAUAUCCCCACAUCCAAUCGCGUCCUUGCCCUAGCGCUGGAUUGUGAACAUUCUCUUCCAGAGACCCAUGUGGGGAUUUAUUCCAAGAAAGCAUUCACACAGCGUCACGAAGCACGCGAUGUGGAGGUAGGAGUUUGGAGAAAGAUUAUGAAGUUGGAGUCCAUAGGCCAAAAGCAAGCUACGAAGGAAAUGGUGGACUGGGAAUGCUAAACCACGAGUGAUGAAAUCGUAAUGCACCACUCGCUCUCCGUAUAUGGGGCGAGAGAUUACCUCCUCGCUGGGAAAACGCACAUGCCCCGGCCGCGUGGACAGCAACCCUUCUUCUUGCAUUCCGGCCACCCUCUCGCAAUCCACGGAGGACAGCGGCCAAGCUUCCGCACUCUUCUUGCUCUUCCCCAUCUCGCUGGGUCAAAAGACGUGAUUAACAGGGAACACGAAGGGUUUUUUGGCUAUGGAAGCUAAAGUGUUGGGCGCCUGAGCUCUGGGUGCGAGGAGGAAGAAGGGUUAAAACUAAUUUACCCCACCACCGUUUUUAUCCUUACCUUGGCAAAAAAUCCGGGAUGCACGAUCUCGGUCAUGGCCACGUGUUUCGCAUCAACCGAAAUACGAAACGGCAAGGAUGAAAGUAAGUGCUUACUUCAUGGGCACAAGAACCAAUGAGAUCAUCAUCGUGUCUUGUUUACUGUGCGAAGUGUGAUCGUUUCUCCACUGACGCACGCCUAUAGUGUGCCUAGCUGUCAGGCUAGACUGUACAUCCAGUCACAUCGGCUGACCAAAACGGCUCUUCACCUCCAGCAGGUACGUCAUCAAUGACGAAGUUUGACUCGUAUAUCAUGACUCGAAAUUAUCUUUUAUACAGGAUGACAGAGUUUAUCUUAAAGGUUGAGACUCAUCUUGAGUUUUGAUUAUGAAUACUAUGACUCUCAUUCGGGUCACUAACUGACCGACUUUUAGUUUAUAUUUGUUAAAGACUUCAUACAGUCAGCUAUUGUUCAUUAUUUACUUACAACAGUAAAAACAGGGUAAUGACCCUGACACAAAACAGUUGCUUUCAUGUAGUCGACUCAAUUGAGUCGCACCCGUUGCGUCACCUCAGUUAUUUAUGCUCAUUCGCAUAACAGUAAGCCUCUUGGAUUUCGUCCAAAGAGCCUGGAGCCGCACCAGCUGUGUUGCUCUAGUAAACCCCAUACUCAUUGCAUGAAGAUAAGCCUCAUGGGUCAUUCCAUCGAGCCUGAAAUCGUACCAGCUAUGUAUUUUAGUAAAUCCAUGCUCAUUGCAUGAAGAUAAGACCCGAAAGUUCUCUUACGGGCCUGGAAUCGUAUCCGCUACGCUAUUUCCAGUUGAAUCCAUGCUCAUUGUAUGAAGGUAAGUCCUAAAAUUUAGGCCUGGAUGUGUAUCGACUGCAUUCUUCCAGUAACAAUUCUCACUUAACGGUCGCUCCUUGAAACCAUGUUCAUUACAUGAAGAUAAGACCCAUAGGCUUUCUAUAGGGCCUGAAAACGUACCAGCUGCGUAUUUCCAGUUCAAGCAAUCUUGAUGAACGAGUCGAGUACUUAAAAACUGGAAUUUGACUAUAUAAGACCCCAGCAAGCUAAGUCGAAAUUCACCAGUGGCCAAGUUCAAGCCCAGGGACUCGAAUGCUGAUGAAAGCUAGUGUUGUAUUCGCUCUAGAGCGAUUAACUGGACUCGAUUUCUCGAGUAUCUAGGCGCCUUAAGCAUGUAUCCCUAUGUCAGAUCAUAUUGUGAAACUGCCAUCUAACAGUCAAGCACUAAUACAUCGACUCAGACAUUCUCUGAGUCGAAAAUACUUCUCAUUCGAAGUACAAAUUAAUGAAACUCCAAGUUUCGAGCAUUAUGCAAAUGGCUCAACAGAAGAAUAAGCUCAUUCUUUACGGGAAAAGUCCCUCAUCAAGUCUUCGACUCAACCAGGCACUUGGGGGCUACUGACAUGGUUAUGACUAACCACGUGCUCGACUCGAGUAUACCUGGUACGGCCCAGCUGGGGCCCCACAAGAAAGCCUAUUUCGACUUCAGGAGUCUACAUGCCUAGUCUUGUGAUUCAAGAUAAGAAAGAUUAAUUAGAGUAUAUCUCCUCAUUGUAACCAACUUGGAUUCUACCUACCUGAGUUCCUGCCUAUAUAAAGGACCAGGAGGGGGAGCCAAGAGGACACCCCCAACUUAGAUAUAAGUCGCCUAGACGCACUCGACGACUCGCUACAUCUAGACUCUGCGGCACCCCAUUGUAAUCGACUCAUAAAUACAUAUCCGACAAGCAGGACGUAGGGGUAUCACCUCAUUGAGGGCCCUGAACCUGGGUAAAUCGUGUUCCCUGUGUCCUUGUUAGCCGACGAGUUCACCAACACACACUCGAAAUCUUUCCUUGAUACAAGUCCAUAUAUGGACAUUGUCGAAGUUACAUCUUCGUCACGCCCUGUCGGCACAGGCAGGACGGACCUGCUGCCCUAGCUGAGCUGCCAACUGUGGGGGAGGCGGCAGUCCGGAGGAGAGAGGUAGCCGGCCCGCCGAAUAGCCUCGGCCUCGUCGAGGCGGAUCAAGCCAGCGAUGCUCGUCCCAGUUGUUGCCGGCCAUGGCGAGGGCGAGGCAGAGGAGGAGAGAAGGCGAGGGUGGAGAUGGGCGAGGGAGAGGAAUGGCGAGCUCUCUCGCCGGCGCUGCCUUUUAUAGGCGCCGAAUUAACCCGCUGGGGGGGUGAACGUGGUGGGAAACGGUGUUGGGAACGCGGCGCGGGUGCGCCGCAUGGAAGCCGACGAGACUGGGCGGCGGUUUGACCCGGUGACCGCCAUUACUUGCCUAAGAAGCCGAGGUGAAGCCGGUGGGCGAUUAAUGCCGAAGUCGGUGAGGGUGAUAAAAUGGCUCCGACAAGGCGGGCCCAUGCCAUAAAACGCUUCGCCGGUGCCCGCGCUUGACUCCCCGUGGGUUGGGUUCGGGCUGGGGUCGCCUGCUGAUUUAUUGGGCCGCGUUGGCCAAAUUUUGGGAAUAGGGGUGGGGUGGGGCGGCUGGGUAUGUUUUUUGGCACCGGCGCCCCAAAUUUGGUUUGGGGGGCCUUUAGGGCCGGCGGCUGGAGAUGCUCUAAUUCCACGAUAUGCAAAUCCCCAGGAACUGAAGUGAGCAGCGCGUCCAAGUACAAGAACCGUACUGCAUGUUACUCUUUUAUUUCCCACUUUUCUUUGUCCGCGGUAUUUAGCGGUCCACCUGCAUUCCUCCCCGCCCUCUGUCUAAUCUCUCUCCCCUUGUCUUCAUCUAAGCUGAACAAAAUAUUUAUUUUCCAAAAAUUCAAUUAAAAAUAAUUCUAGUGCAAAACUAUCACCAAAUCUGACCCAUUUGCUCCAUGCGAACCUCUAUAGCAUUCAAUGUGAUUAGGUUAAACUAUAUGGUGUGACAUUGAAAGACAUAUUUUUUUAUGUUUUGGAGGGUCGAUGCCAUGGGCCAUGGUGUGGAUCUGUUAGAGCUCGACGCUGUGAACCGUUGACUUCAAAAUUAAAAUAAACCUUUUUGGCGGUUGAAAUCGACGUUUUGGAAGGUCCACACCAUGGUCUAUAUGGUUGAGCUCAGACACCCAAAGCCAUGCACCAUGGCGUUGACUGUCUGAUACGUCAAAUGUUUUGCGAAAUUGCUAUGGCUUUUAAUUUUUACUGCCAGGCAAUAUGGCGUUAGCCAAGCCAGGUUAAAUGCCCCCGAGGAUGGUGUUGAGCCAAAGGGUCAAAUUUAGUUAAAUUUUUACACCAGUUCAUUUCUUUGGCUAAACAUUUAGAAGAGAGUCAUUUUUGUCGAUUUACACCUUAUCGCCAUGCUCUCGAAAAUUGAAAGAUGAGCUCUUGAUUUAAACGAUUGUCCGACCUGCAGUUUUCUCCAAGGACUAAAGCAACCUUCUGUUCGAAAAGAAAGCAACAUAAAACUGCACCUGUCAUUGAUGGCUAGCACCUCCACUGAUAGAGUGACAAUGGUGCACUUAAAAAAAAGAGUGACAAUGGUGCAAAUGUUCCUCCCGGGCGAUAGAGGUACUUUGUGCGGCAAUGGCAGUUUCACUGAGAGCUUUAGGGCUGUUUUGGUUGUCUAUAUAGGCUUUUUUUUUUUGCGGGGAAGUUGCCUAUGUAGGCUUUGGCCCGCACCCGAGUUGCAAAAAUAGGGCCGUUUGGUUGUCUGGGCCGCAUCCACGCGUUGCAUGCCAGAAUAAAAAAACACCCCUCUAGCCCACAUCUUAGAAACGAAGGGAUCAACCGUUUUUCUCCUGCCUCCACCAGCCUGGCCGCUCCGGCUCCAAUGCCGCCUCUCAUCACCUCACCGGCCGCGGCCAUGGCGACCCCAUCAUGCCUCUGCGGUCUUGCUCCCCGGGAAAUCGGGCUCAUGAGCUCUCUGUCUCUCUCUCCGUUGGUCUGUGCAGUUCAAUAGCUGCUCGCAGCGGGUGGAGCCGUGGAGGAGAUCGUCGUCGAUGUGUACCGUAGCCUCCACGCAGUGAAGGCGGAAUGGUACCAGAAAGGCCCGCCGACUCGUCGAUUAUAGUAAUUCAGGCGUGCAAUCCUACACUAGCUUAAUUCCAUGUGCAAUUGUGAUUCUAGUAAUCCAUCUUCCAGAAUUACUACAGUCACAUUGAGGUGUAGGAUAAGUCAUCUGCUGUAACCGAUGCAAUUGCAAAACUAUUCUGUGUCAGCACCAGGAUUCCAUGACCCACCCUCGACCCAUUGCAACCAUCCUCUCUUGUUUCUAAAUCUAUUGUAAAUUCAUCCUCGGAUAAUGAAAGAUCAAUAUGCUGAUUGUCAAUUCAUAUCGAUAGUUUUCUGACAAAAGAGAUGGAGGUCUGCCUAGAUGUGGACUACAAACGGGCUGAUUUAGAAAUCAAUGCCGACCUCUGAAAGUAUGAAACAAAAGGCAUCCUACUGUGUUCCUCCGGUAUUAUUUUUUUUCUUAAUUUUCCUUUUUACUCCGGCAUACAAAGUUUUAAUCCACACAUGCAAAGUUGCAUACAAAGUUGUACUAAAUAGCAACGAGUAGUUCCGGCCGGAAGAGUAUCCAAUAAACACAUUCCUCUGUGAUUUCAUUCGGUCUGCAUUUCAUAUUUCACAGUCGCAGACACGCACACUGGUAUCCUAGACUAGCACCAGUGAUUAUUUCCCUCUCCAUAACUGAUCCAUACUCGUUCUUCAAAUGAUACCGAGUCAGAGGUUCAGAGCGUGAGCCGGAGCAGCUCUCUGAACUGUAGCCUCCGAGUCUCAGUAUGCAGCGUCCUCUUCUUAUUGGGCCAGUAGGUGACCCAAACCCUCCCCUUGAUCUCCCACUCCAGGGUCUUCCCAGCCGCCGCCGCCGCCAUCCUCCAGCAAACCCCUUCCCCGUACUCAUCUCCGGCGAAUAUAACCCCGCCGCUCCGCGUGAAGGGCCUGCUGGGGCUGGUGUACCGGUUCCUGAACCACGACCUGGGCUGGCACAGCUCCAGCUUCGGCGGCUCGCUGGAGAACACCUCCCGGCCCCCGCCGCCGCCGCCGUGGAGGAACCAGCUGAGCGACGCCGUGUUCCCCUGCACCGAGUGCUCGAACUUCCACGGCCUCACGCUCCUCGUCACCGUCUCGUGCGCCGACACGCUGAUGCCGAUAGACGCCGCCGGCGCCGCGCCCAGCGUCGUGUCGAUGCCCUUGUCCGUGGCCACCUCCUGGACCGGGUUCUCCGUCGACCGGCUCACCGACAGCGACAGGAUGUCCGACUGCUGUAAUGGAGUCAGCUGCAGUGAGAUCCGCGAUGGGAAGUGCUUCUCGUCCGAUCCGUAGCCCUGCUUCGCCAUGAGCGUCUCUGACACCAGCUGGAUCACGUCGCACCUGCAGAAGUGGAGAGCACACGAUUACUCCUAAACUAAGUGCAGUUCUUGUUUAUUUAUUAUGAAUUGAAGUGAUAUUCAAAGCAGAGGUUACCUGAUGUUGUCGACGUUGACGGCGACGUCGAUCCAGUUCUCCUUGAAGGCGACCCUGUACACGAGCUGGAUGACGCUCUCGAGCUGCUGGUAGUUGAGCGAGAAGAGCAGCCUCUCGUCCUUGGCCUGCUGCAGGUGAUGAGAGGACUGGUCCAUGGCCAUGGCCACCACCGGACAGUACACCUGGACCUUCCACAGCCUGCUGGCCGACAGUGCAUAAGAGAACACGGCGAAGCGGGCCGGCGCCGGCGGCCCACCCCCGCCGCCUGACCGGAGAGCUUCCAUGGCCCAGUUGGUCACGCCGAGGUUCAGAGAUCGCAUCCACUGCUCCUCCAGGUUGGACCCCAGGGACAGCAUCAGCGUUCUCGCGGCGCACCGCAUCUCGUCGCGCGCCAGCUGCGGGCUGAUGACACCGAUGAACUCUCGCCGGAGCGGGGACGGGGCCUCGUAGACGCAGACCAGGAGCGCCAGCGUGAGGACCGACAGGCUCAGGAUCCUGCCUGAAUCUUCAGACAUGGGAACAUCCGGCAACCGGAGGAUUGAUCUGCUGCUAGAGUAAGGGCCAUACUUCAGGACCCCGCAGAUGAUCUCAAGCAAGAACUGGACGGUAACGUCUGUGGUAUUGUUAUUUGCCGGUUUCAGCCUGGAGUAAUGGGAGCUCCAGAGCGAGACGGGGUCAUGGGUAUCUCCACAGACGGAGAAACAAAAAAUGAUUGGAUGGGCUUCUUCAGGUUUCCUGCUGACUACGAGGUUCAGUGACUCGUUUGUGGAUGGCGAAUUGCAUAUUUGAAGGGAGUAGGAUUUUUCUCCCCUCCAUUGCUUGGGGAGGCUUGUGAUCCACUUCCAGAUGUCAGGAACAGAGCCAGAAGCCAUGAUCGAGGAGGAGCUAGCUCUGUAGUCUCUAUGGGUUUCUUGAUCACCCCUGUCCAAUAAAUAAAUACAACAAGGCACAAGGUAAAAAGACAGGUACUGCGAAAGUCAGAUGAUUUGGAACAAUAAGGUAAGUUGAGCACAACUAAAACUCUAGUUUCCUAUGAUUGCGAAGCUGCUUUUGAAAGAUAUGAAGAUUCAGUACUGUCUAAUUCAGCACAUUGUUGAGCAGUGCAAGGGAGGCUUUUGCUACUAAUGGUAUUGGUACCCAAAAGCUCAAAAGAUGAAACUCAUGGAGAAAGAUGACAGAUCAACAGUCAAGAGAAAAGAUGAAAGGCAAGUUAUAUCAAGUAUGAACCCAAAAUCUCAAUCACUAUUGCCUAGGUAAGUAUAGGAGUAGUAUAGUUUGAAACACUUUGCUUCUUCAGGAAUGGGUGUGCAAUGGUAAUAUCUUUUGGGCUGUGGACAAUGGACAGGACAUGGUGUACAGCAAGUUGGAGAUACUUGACAGCUUUCCUUUGCUUCCAUAGCUAGUGCAUGAUGUAAAAUGUGGCAAGAUGAUGUAAGCAAGAAAUAAAUGAACUGCAGUUCUUUUCUGAUUUGCUGCCGGUAAUGUGUCCAAGGUGGGUGGUUCUUCUCCUUUUCACUGAUGGAAUUGGAAAGAAUAAACUUUUUUGAGGAACAGUUCGAACAGAUAAAACUUUCUCAACUGAAUUUUCCUUGGCCCUAUUUGGAAUGGAUGUAAAUGUUGUGGGUGGGCAGUAAACUCGGCUACUCUCUUUUAAGAGAGGUCUGGUUUUUCCUUAGUAAACAAGGCUACUCUGUUCUUCUAAUAGAUUGACAGUGCUCCUGCUCUUUCUAAGUUUUCUUGAAGAAAAAUAAACGAUCUCUCAGUGAAGCUUGGAAAAGAAGAUGAUUUCUACAGAACAUCUACCAGAAGUAUCUCUUCUGAAUAUCCUGUACUAAAUACGCCAUCCGUUUCAUAAUUGUUGUCGAAAUAUUACAUGUAUCUAAACACUUUUUAGGAAUAGAUACAUGCAUAUUUGGGCAAAUUUGAGACAAGGAUUAUGAACGGAGGGAGUAGUAGAGUUUAAGUUUCCACCCGUGCAAUUAGGUAUAAGGACGUGUCGUCCUUUGUACCUUUGGCAUGUGAAAACAGAAUCAGAUCCUUUUGUCAGGGGUUAUCCAUUUCUAUAUUCCUCGUCACUCCGUUUCUGCUUUUUUGCUGAUCUUCUUAAUGGAUGCUUGAUGCUUCUGAAUUCUGAUAUCACCACGCAAGAAGCAUAUGCAUCCCAAAACUGCUGGAUAGCUCACCAACUAUUGAAAUCAUUACAUUGACCUGCUGAACUAACAAAAAUAGCUUGCAUGCUUCUAGAUAUUUCUAUACACGGUAGAUUGCCUGCACCAAUUGUCCACAGAAUUAUUCACCAGUAGCCACUAGAUUGCACGUAUGGAUGCAAGGGCCAUUACAGUUAUAUCUCCAACAGAAAUAAAUCACAAGAGAAAUGUGACCAUGAAAUUUUAUGACACAAAUUUAUCUAACAUCCUGGAAAAGGCUAUUGGGUUCUGGCCGGUUCCAAAAGGAGCGUUCACACAAGAUUACUUCGAAGAGCCGAACAUUGGACUUAGAUCCUGGACGGAUCUAACUGCUAUUCAGACUGUAGGUCAGAUCUAUGACAAGUUCUACAUGUAUACUAUCGAGUAGCUCGGCUCGUUAAGCUCGUUAUGCUUAACGAGCUAAAACUCAAGAUCGGUUCAGUUCGUGAAGAGCGCUCGUUAAAGCUUGUUAUGAGAUAACAUGUUAGCAGCCAUGAAUCAUAUUUUCAUAAGUUAAACAAGUAAAAAGUAGCAGCAAAGCAUUAUAUAUAAAUAUAAUCAUACUGCACAGUUAUAUUUCAACAGAAAAUGGGAUUUGGCAUGAAGCACAAAGAUCACACAUGCACACUGAGAGAACAGCAAGUUUAGCAAUUACCACAAGCAACAGUUUUGCUUGCACAAAUCAUAAACAGGAUAGGAGUUGAUUGGCAAUGAGAUGAGUACGAGCUAGCAAGGAGAUGAGGAGGUUAGGUCGGGUCAUAGUCGUGCUGUGCAGUCAAUUACUAGUCGCCGGGGGCCCAGGGGAUUAGACGGGCUGGAUGCUCUCAUGAAACUCAGUACUCUCGGCUUGUUAAGCUCGUUAGCUUUAUUGAGCUGAAAAUAAAACUCGGCUCGGUUCAUCUGCAAACGAACACGAGCUUAAACGAGCCAAGCUCACAAGCGCUCGUUAGGCUUGUCGUUGUGGAGGCCAAACUGGGCCACGACCCUCCCCCCCUCCAAAUUGCAAUUUUUCUUUUUACUAUGCAUGUUUACCGUGUAUUAGCACAGUCCAUAUAACUAUCACGCAUAAUUUAAAUCGGAAGUAGAUAUUCCAUCUGAUUCAUGGACCAAAUUGUGAGAAAAUGGUGGAAGGGUCUCUACCUAGUGGAACUGCAGUGGUCCAUUUUCGAAAAUGGUGGAAGGGUCUCUUUGGUUGUAUCGCUCGAUAUAACUUUGAGAUCAAUAAAAACUUCUAUUUAAAAUAAAAUAAAAGCUAGCGGAACGGCAGUGGUCUUGGGUUCGACUUCUCUAAGGCAUUGUUUGGUGUUACUGUAUUUUUUAUUCACUAGUGUUUUGGUAUUUGAGGGGUUUGGGUGUUCACCCAAAACCCUCAAAACACACACAAUUAUGAGAAGUGUUUUAAUUUGGUACAAAAAUUGAGUUUUUGUGAAGGGAAACUAAGGAUAAUCCCCUCUAAACCCUUCCUACCAAACAAACAUUUGGGGUUUCUAGUGUUUUUUUAAUUUGGAUUGGAUAAUACCGUAAAAAAUACCACAAAAACUCUAGGACCAAACAAAGCCUAAGGAUCAAAUUUUCAGACCGGGGUUAAAAUAAAUCCCCACGCUUGACCCAUACCAAAACACAAGUCUAAGGUCCGGUCCAAUCUCACACGGCCUGCCAUGCCGUCGGGAUUAACGUUUCUGGAUUUUCAGGACUUGCGUGAAAUUAAAGUUCUUCUUCUUAAUAGAAAAGCACGGGGCUUAUUUGCUCCCCAUGGGUCCGCGCCGUCCACCUCUCUUCAAUCAACAAGCUGCACAACCGGCCGCAAGAACAAGACUCAAUCGCAUUAACCAACAGAUCGAACAUGUUGUUGUGUUAGACCACGAGGUCAACUAUAACCACAAGGUUCUAUACUACAAAAAAAAUAGUUAUAUAUAUAUAAAAUUAAGAAUUGUCCUACAAAAAAAAUAGUUAUUAAGAAUUGUCCUAUAAUUCCUAACACCUCUGCUAAUUCAAAUAUAUUUUAAUAAAAAAAUUCUUGCAGUGUUUGUUUGAUAUGAAAUUAGCCCCCUCUUGGCUUUCCGUCACACUCCGCCAAUUGAGCUUUAUGUCCAUGCCCCUAAUGACAGAUGGAAAUGAUCCAGAUGUUAAUGCCGUUUUAGAACGUGAUGGGAAAUUCUGUUUCAUUGUAAGGUCAAGAUCUGAUACCCCUCCGUCCCAUAUUAGUUGUCGAAAUAUUACAUGUAUCUAGACGCUUUUUAGACAUAGAAACAUUCAUAUUUGGACAAAUUUGAGACAUCUAAUAUUGGACGGAGGAAGUACACACUUCUAUGACACAAGGGUACUUGUAUUACCAUGGGGCCAAUGUGCCAUGAACAAGAGUCAGGUUAUUCAUGGCACAUUGGAUAUGGACACGGCUUUUGAGAUGCAACUUUGACCAUUGUUUGCAUGUGUAUAUAUGUUACUCCCUCCAUUAUAUAAUUCUUGUCUCAAAUUUGUCCAAAAAUGAAUGUAUCUAUUCUAAAAAACAUCUAAAUACAUGUAAUAUUUCGACAAGAAUUAUGGGGUAGAAAACUAAAGAAACAUGAUUAUAAAAUAUUUUUCAUAACAAAUAUAAUUAACGAUCUUAUUUUUAUUUGAUCAACAAAAGACUAAUUUACACAUGCAACCGCUACUAGAAACUAGAGCUUUCCCUCCACGUUAACGUUAGUCAAAGUUAGAGAACUUUCACUCCAAGCAUUUUAAGCUUUUUAGGAUCAUAAAUUUUGGAAAAGAGGUACUAGUAAACCGUAAGGAUGAUUAUUCUACAGAUAAGUUCUUCUCUUACAUUUGUUCAAGCAAAAGUGUCUUAAUUAUAACGUCAUCUAUUUGAGGGCAAAGACAUAAUCAAUCCUAAGAUAAUCCAGAUUAAGUAUUUCAAAACCGGGAUAUUUGCAUCAUCAUUUCCAAGGAUAGCAAGCAGAUGAUAAACGAGUUACAUUUAUUCAAAAUAAAAAAGAAGAUACAAACAGCAGAUUUGGAUGUAUUUUUUUUUUCAGAUUUUAUUCCUCUUUGCGCUAUAGGUUCACAAAGACCAUAGUAUUAUAUUGAGGCGUCAUGUGCUUGCUUACCAUCUGUGGACCACUUGAGAAACACAUCCCAACGGCAAGCAGACAGGGAUUACAACAAACUCAUGAUAAACACCAUGACUAUACUAUGCCUUGUAUGAACAUAAAAUAUGUUGAAAUUGUUUUGAGGGCGAUUUCUGCUGCCCACGUGCCUGUUUAUCAGCUGUGUGGACAAUCAAAUUGAGAAACACUUUCCAACGACAAGCAUAUCAGGAUUACAACAACGAAUUCUCUUACAACAAACUAAUGACAAACACCAUGACUAUACUAUGCCAUGUGUGAACAUAGAAAAUAUUGAAAUUGGCUUUGAGGGCGAUUUUCUGCUGCCCAUGUGCUUGUUUAUCAUGGAACAUCAAAUUGAGAAACACUUCCUAACAACAAGCAUAUCAGGAUUACAACAAACUCAUGGCAAACACCAUGACUAUACUAUGCCUUGUUCAACAUAAAAAAUAUUGAAAUUGGUUUUGAAGGCAAUUUUCUGCUGCCCAUGUGCUUGUCUAUCAUCUGUGUGGACAAUCAAAUUGAGAAACACUUCCCAACGACAAGCAUAUCAGGAUUACAACAAACUCAUGAUAAACACCAUGACUAAACUAUGCCUUGUAUGAGCAUAAAGUAUAUUGAAAUUGGUUUGAUGGCGAUGGUCUGCUGCCCAUGUACAGCAAAUUCACUAUAUAAAGAUACAUAUGAAAUAUGCAUCCACCUAACAAUCCAGAUCAAGGCACAGAAUAAUCAUCUGAGAAUAUCAAUGCCAAAUGGAUUUGAUGCCUGUCUGCCACCCCAGGUUCCAGAAAAUUGUUUGAAGUGACGACUUUCUAAUAAGAAUUGAACCAUAAUUUGUGCGGUUCAUGGCCAUUUUGAAUUUUGAUCACUUGAUCAGUCAGUGUGAUGAGAAAGUAUUGAACAAUCCAUAGCCAGCAAAAACCAGACCAAAUAUAAGGAAGCCAUAGUCCAGCACCCUUCGGCACAGGCUCAUUGAGGAGCCCACGAUAAUGAGAUGGAAGAUGGUAGGCAGCACAAACGAGAGCAGAGCACACACUGUACUCCCAACAAAGGAUACAUAUGACCCAAAUGCAGGAAUGAAUGAUGCCACAACAGCCAGGAUAGCCACCAUGACAAUACGGCUCGAGUGCAAGCCUAACCAUUCGGCACCAUGAACAUUGUGGGAAAGCUUCUGGAACCAUCCGCUUGAUCUGAACCUUGUCUCAAUGAUCUCGUGGAUCGGGUGCAUCAUAACUGGGAAUGUGAAUGCCAGUGCAAUGCAUAGGCCAACCUGUCAAAAUAAUUUUCAAACUAUUAGGGCUUAGGAUACAAAGAUCAAUAAUCUGGCAAGUUAUAUCUUGACAACAAAUUACUCAUUUUUUUAAUUUCACAAUAACAGAGAUUCACACUUAAAAUAUACUGCAAUUAAGUAAUUGUCAAAUAUUUGGGCUGUGAAGUGCAUUUUUUUUCUUUGAAGCAACAGCAUGUUUCAACAGACAAUCACACAAAAUAAUUAUGGAAACUACACUAACCUUAACAGCUGCAGAGGACCAAUUAUUUGGAAGAUUAAGUGUUAUGAUGUCCUUGGUAGCCUCACCAUAUGCCAAGUAUCCACAUACUCCAAAACAUGCAUACACAACUAUGAUGCCCAUAACUGCUUGAGAAAGUACCAAACGGAACUUUCUCCGUUCCGCCAUUGAUGAUUCUAGUGCCAAUGUCAUGCUAAAUCCUUCAAAGCAGAAGGCAGCAACUCCAAAUGUGAAAGGUAUAGCCCAAACCCCAUUAAAAGUGUUUCUAUUUGCAAAGGGAUGAUCAAUAAGUUGAAGGUCCUUUCUGAUAACCAUUGCCAUCGCUAAGACAUUGCAUAUAUCUGCAAAUAUACUGAAUGGUGAAAGAGUAGACAGUGAACGAAUGAAGGAUAAGGCGAUCUGCACGGGCAGGAGGAUGGCAAAGAUGAAGCCAGCUGGUGACAUCGACUGGCCAAAAAUGGAAUGGAGAUUUUCACCAAUAAAUACUAGGUAAGCUACAGAACCACCCGCUUGAGAAACAAGGAUGAAGAUUUCCGUCAAGGAUCGACCUAUAGUCCCAAAGCACUUCUCACCCAAAUCCCCAUAUGUAUAGUGGACAUGGCAGGGUUCUUCAGUUUCUUCCUCUGCCAAUUUAUCUCUACAGUCCACCUUCAGAGCAAAAUGGAUACCAACUAAAUCAAACAGCUGAAAAGUAAUGGUGAUCUCAAAACUAAAGUUGCAGGUUAUAGAGUAAUAGAUACCUGAAGUACUUAGAAAACUCAGUUAUCUCUACAGUCCACCUAACAAUAUCAUGUUCAACCUAGCUCCAGAAAUAAAAGAUCAUGUUUAUACUUUAUACCAAGAAUGGGCUAACACCAUAGACCUGGCCUAUGAUACUAUUAUGGGAAUUGUUUGGGUUUCAGGCUUUUGGUUUCAGGGUCUAAUUCUAGCAGUAAUUGGGUAAAAUAUUGAUUUCAUCACCGAGUUACUGGAAAUCAUUCCUGUUGACUGUUGUAUUGGAGGCAUUGUAGGAUAGUAAUUUAAGUGGGAAAUAUAGAGAUGAAAAAAACUUUUGCAGUUUUUUUUUUGAGGAAAAACUUUUACAGUUUGGGGACAGGAUAAUCCCAGCUUAAAAACCCUGUAGUAUUCCUAAACAAGAGGGAUGAAAAUUCUUAUCCUGACUCCCGAGUGACCAAAUACUAACCGUGUCUCCACUCUCUACCAUAACUUGUAGCCUUUGACUGAUCACAAUAUUUCGGGAGUAUAGCUAUACGAUUAAUCUUCCACCUACAUUAAUUCUUGUCGAAAACUAAACACGAACACCAACCACUUUUCAUCCACACUCCACAGCACUACCUAAUCUGUAUAAGUUGAAUACAAUGCAAAGCUGUAGCAUAGCAAUUUCCAAAAUCCGGAUGGCUUCCGGUUAAGCAACUAAACAAGCGAAGGUGUAGUGUUAAUGCGGGGUAGGUGGUGUGAGGAGGUACUGACGAGGAGGAGCAUGCAGUAGAGCGUGGCGCAGCCGGCGGCAGCGACGCCGAGGGAUCCCGCGACCCAGCCGGCGGCGCUGAAGGCGUAGGGGAGGCCGAGCACACCCGUGCCGACGAUUGACACCACCACGUUGCCCAGCGUCUGCGCACACGUCGCUCCUCCGCGCCCAUGGGCCUUCCCAUCCUCCCGCGGCAGAAGCGGCGCUGCCGCCCCUCCCGUCUCUCCCAUCCCCAGCAACAACCGUGCCGGCGGCGGCGGCGGAGACUAGAGACUAGAGACUAGAGAGGCAACGGAGCUUCGCGAAGCGAAAUUGGUUUUGGGAAUCGUGUUUGGCGCACGAGGGAGUGAGACGGGGAAUGUUUAUAUAUUUGAGAGGGGGCGAGAAGGCGAAGCCGCCGGCGGCCGGAGAGGAGUCGCUGUGCUUUGCUGGAUGGACGAAGAUUGGGGGUGGGUGUCACGUGGGAUCUUUUUCUGGAUCUCUGUCCUACUCGUCGGAUAGACGUGAAAUUCCAAGACCACUAUCGUGUAUCGUAGUUAUGUAAGGUCAUCACUUAGUCUCCUUCUCUAUCAUUUUAGAUUUUUAGUCAAGAAACGCGAGACUAUUUUACAAAAAAUAAGCGUUUCCACCAACUCCAAUACUUAUCAGCGUGCUCCACCGUUCAUAUUUGCGUUGAGAUCUUUGUUUUUUAUUUACUAACAACGUGAUGCUCAUGCAUUGCUAGGUAUUAGAAAAAUUCAUCACAUGAAUCAUGUACUACAUUAUUUUAGACCAAAUAAUAGAUAUUUAUUCUCGUCCAAAUGAUUUAUAUGAAUCUCCUGUUUGUAAUUUUUAUUAUUUUCAGAGCUCUUUAUAUUAAUGUUGAUGAUUAUCGAUAGAUCGGCGGUCCUGUCAAAAAAAAAGAGCCCCAAGGUCAUGAGCCGCUGCCAUUUCCUUUUUACGCAGUGGGCUCUCCCCGCCGAUUUCAAUUAGAGAAACCGCAAGUUCAGUACAAACGAAAGAAAAAGAACAGAAAAUAAUAGAAGACAGUCAGCGCCCCCUAAUCUUCUUCAGUGUCUUGGUGGGGGUUUUCCCCAAGCCCCCGCGUCGCCUAACCUAGGGCGGCUCGGGCGGCGCCCCCAAGCCGCCGGCUCCUCCCCUCCCAUCUCUUGCUCCUCUCCUCGCCGCCACCGGCGGUCAGCGCCGGGCAAAGCCCGUGCGUUUACGGCGGCGGCGGGGCUCGUCUAGCGACGGCUGGAGCAUUCGUGCUCUGUUUCGGGCGGCGCCGCAAGUUUCUCGGCACGGAUUUGCGAGGCAGCAGUGGCGGCGCGAGGGCCGCGAGGGCGCGGAGGCGACGCCAAAGUGGCGAGUCGUCGCGGCGGCGGUGGCCUUGUGGGCGGGCGCUUGGGUCCGGGGUCGUGCGCGGGCCAGAUCUGGCUUGCUUGUGGUUGGGCUCCGGUGCGGCAGUGCGGGGCGGGCGGGCUUGGUGGAUGCGGCGGCGGGCAUCGGGGCGGCUCUUCUCGUCGAGGCCUGCUUGAUGUCCGUGGGCUUUCGGCGUGCCUGGAGGCGGUGCAGUGGCGCGAGGUGGCUGCGGCCCCGGCUGUGCGAGGCUGCGGAGGCUCUCCUUGCUGCGACGGUGACGACCUGGAUUUGCUUCGGGUGGAGCUGUGAUGGAGAGGUGCAGAGGUGUUUGUGCCUUUGCCGGCGAGGUGGCUGUUGGCUUCGUGUGGAGCCAUGCUGGGGAGGUGCUGAGGUGCCCUUGUUGUUGCUCGGACCGGAUAUGGGUCUGAGUGGGCGGAGUCGCCAUUGUGGCGUGUGCUUCUGCCAUGUCGCGGCGCGGUCGGAGCUGUAGUGUUGUGUAGCCUCUUCUGUGUCUUGUUGUGGUGAAGUCGCCCGGUAUGAAGGAUUGUGUCGACGACGGACGAGCUGGGUGUCUCUUGCAGCAUGGUGGCGAAGGUGCUUGGCCUUGGCGUUGGUGUGUGAAGCUGACUGUUUGGCAUAGGCCAACGUGGGAUCCAUGCAACUAUUGCGGCCAGGGCUUUGUUGGGGAUCAUUUGCGGUGAAGUCGGAGCCUCCAGCUCGAGGAGUGAUGUGUGAUGACGAUGACAUCUUUCUCGACGAUGGUCUUCGCCGAGUGCGUUUGGUAGUCAGGUCGGUUUGUGGUGUCCUAAGUGUUGUCAUUUGCGACAGCAUCUAGGACUGUUGUAACGGUUUUUGUCUGGUUUUCCGUUAAUAAACUGGGCAUCGAAACUUCUUCUUUAUUGAUGAGAUGAGCUUUUGCCUCUGUUUCGAAAAAAAAAACAGUCAGCGCCCCUUACAGCGUAGCAGAGUAAUGCAACGCAAAUAGAUCAGGACAGAGUAAUGCAACGCAAAUAGAUCAGGACGAACAUGUCCCAAACAGGUGGACAGCCAAGAUAAAACAGAAGGCAACUAAACUCAGGUCAGUCUUUUCAUAGUCGGCGCCCAACCAAAACUCCGCCAGAAAGCUUCAAAAUCACCACCUUAAAGCAUC
rnacentral:lncRNA from 1 species